rnacentral:lncRNA from 1 species
CCCGUGAAACCAAUAAAGCCAGUUCAUCUUGGUCAGCUGUGCGCCACCAUGGCCCAAUUUUCUCAUCUCCAAUCCAAGGCGAUUCAGAAUCAGGAAACAGUUCAUUUUUUUUCUUGGAAACUGUACAACCAUAUGUACCUAUCUCUGCUCUUUCAUACAAAUCCCCUACAUCCUCAAGCUUAGGAGAACAUUGGGGAUUCAGCUUAUUCAUAGGUGUCAAGUCCUUGUCUCCGACUUCAGUAUCCUUCUUUAGACCAGUGCUAAGGAUUCUUAAAUCAGAAUCAACAAAAGAUUCAGUCUCUAUCGAGUCAUAAAACAAUGCACUGCCAUCCUCACUUUCUGGCAUUUUAAGGGCUGAGCUUGUACGACCAUGGAAAGUUUCCAUUUCUGAAUCUGUGCAGUUUAAUUGUUCAUCUGUUAAACCCCUUUGAUGCCUAUAAUUUGAUGGAAGCUGCAGCCACCAUUUUGAGUUUGGCGACAAAUUAGAAAAUGAAGUGCUCCGAUUGAAAGGGGGGAAAGCUACACUGGAAAUGUCCUGUGCCUCAGCAGCAUUUGCAGGUCCCACUUCAACCUCUCUGACAAAGGGUGACGCUAGUGGGCAGUAAGCUAAUUUAGGAGCUCGCUUAGCAUCUUCUUGGACCAAGCAGCGAUUAACCGUUCUCUGCCAAGCAGCCCUUGCUUCUGCAACUGCCAUCACUCCCCCAUUCCUCAGUGCAUAUUACCACCUAAAAUAAUACUCUCUCAGAAAAAUGUUAUGCUCUAAGAUAACAAGCUAAAUUGUCAUAAUUAAUGAUUCUUCCACUAAGUGUGUAAUGUACACCCAUGAAACAAAAGCAAGUCUUAUGAUAUUUAUGUGCAUAGAAGAAACCACUAGUAUGUAGAAUAAAUAAAACACAAAAUCAACGUAAUUCAGCACUGAUCUAAACAAUCAUAAAUUAAUUCCUUUCCCUGAUCUCAAACUUAACAGAAAUUUCUAAAUAAGUACAGAUGUAAACCCACCAAACAGCAUUGACAAAUACAGUUACCAACGUUUUCACAUCAUUUGCAAAAGAAGUCUUUGCAGCAUUCAACAACUAAAUUUGAUUGCUCUUCAUCUAAACUUCUUUCUAAUAUUCAUGCCCAACUUCUUAACCAAGAAAGUCAUUACCAAAGAACAAAUUCCACAGAAAUUAUGUCAACAAACCCUCUUAGCAAUAGAGAAGAAAAAUUAAAGCCAAUAUGCAAAAUGAGAAACAGAAAUAAAGUAGUGGAUUAUGCCCUCCAGAUCACCUCAUUAAGGAUACGACAUAAAGAGUGAAUAUUUGUUCUUCCUCCAGGAUUUGAAGGAGGUCAAAAACAUCCACCAUGACAUUUGGAUUAACGAAACCAAAACUGCAGAUCCAAUUAUGACAUCCCUUAUCCCCAAAGGUUUUAACUUUACCCAAGCAACUCUAAUAUGUUGCAAGUCUCAAAAAGCACUUAAAAAGAUUUUACCUUUAUUUUUUUUCCGGUAAGAACUUGAAAAGCUAGUGCACAGAAUGCUAUUAAAGCAACUUCCUAGUCUAUGAAGUUAGCAUCAAAACUACAAACUGAGGUAGAAAACCACAAGCCAAACAGUUUGAAGAACCAUCCAGCAAACAAAACAUGAGAAUCCUUAGAAAAAGGCUGAAAUAGAUGGCCCAAGUGUCCUUUUGUCAGUUCUGCAAGUUAAUCAAAUCUGCGAGAAAUUACAGUUGGAUUAUUUAAAUCUGUAGAGGAAAGCAUACAUGGAGGUGCAUUACUUGUUCAGACAAAAACUUAAAACAAUUGCAAGACCAGUAGAUUUAAACAACCAAUUCAAAGAUAAAUCAUCACCAAAAGCUAACAACACAAGGGGAAAGAAGAAAGGUAAUAUCUUGCAAGUACAACUAGCCUCACCUUUACCCACCAAAGGGAAAAAAAAUUAUGAACCAAUUUAGAAACCAAAACUGAUACUACAAUCAAUAAACCAGAUAACCUCAAGAACCACAUAACAUCAUCAGCCCAAGGAAUCUAACAGCAAAUCCCCAAAACCCAAAAAAGAUGUCAAAAGAAUUUAACAACUGUAAUCAGACAAACUUUUAUUGGUAAACAGAAAGGGACAAAAAAAAUUAUUACAUAUGUAGCAUGUAUGUAUGUAUGUGUGCAUGUGUCACAUAGGCAGGCAGAGAGUGAUGUACGUAUAUACAUGUAGGGGGGAAUAUAAAUAUGGAAAGAAAAAGAGACCUGAGCGAGAGAGAUGAAAGAGCGGAAAUGAUUGAAUCAAAAGUUAAAGAGGAGGAAAAAAAAUGGGGGAAGUGGGUUUGGAUCUCAAUUGAUAAUGGAGCAGCAGUUAUCUUUGUUUCCAGUCCAAAAGACAAGCAACGAUAUUUCCCUCUCCUCUAUCUUCUCGCUGUCAGAGAGUAAGAGGGAAAGUGAGUGAGGGAGGACCUCUUUUUCAGUUUUUUGUUUUUCAGUUAUCGGUUUUUUUUUUUUGUUUGUUCAAAAAAUUUUGUUUAAUUUGCACAGUCCCCCUUUGUUCUUCUUCCAUUGGGCUUAAAACGAUGACUUGUCCCUCGUUUUGGUUCCUCAUCCAUAUCUAUCUAUGUGACAUUGUAUGUUGUUUGCCAAGGAGGACAUCUCUAAUCUGGAUAUAUCUUUUGGAGAAAAGGGGAGAAGUUAAAUUCAUCGUAUUGGGUUUUUUUUUUUUUGCUUUAAAUAAGUUUCUAAUGGAAAUUUGUGGGGUCCAAGUGGUAAUUACCAGAGACUAGUAAAAGGAAAGGAAAAACGAUUAGGAUUAGGACUAGGAAGAAGAAGGUAAGCAAUAAUUCAAUGUUUUGAGAACCGAACCGGGUAUCGACUCGGUCAACUUCAGGGUUCAAGGGUUAAUGAAUUCAAUCGAGUUUGAUAGGGAUUGAACCGGAUCACGUCUUAAAUAAAAAUUAUUUAAAAAUUAAAAUAUUAUAUGUAAAAUACCUAAUAACAUGUAAAUAUUAAUAAAUGUAUAUUCAUAUAUAUUUGAUGUUUUAAAUAUAUUUAACAAGAAAAUACAAAAAACUUAGAACAAUAAAGUAACAAUUUAUAUUAUUUAAUGAGUAUUAACAAGUUUAGAAUUAAAAUUAUUGACUUAAUUGAAAAAUAAUAUCAAACUUUAAGAAAAUAUUGAUAAAGUAUGAAAUAUUUGAGGUAUAUUAAUAAUUUUUAACAAUCUAGGGAUCAAAACAUAAUAUUGAAAAAUUUUGAAUUUUUUUUUAAAAUGCUGUUUGAACCGAAAAAACCGGUUUUUUUCGAUCCAACCCAAUUUUUGACCGAAUUUUUACUUAUCCAGUUUUUAAGCAUGACUUGGACUGGAUACUUGACCAGUGCUCGGUUCGACCGGCCGGUCCGGUCCGAAUUUUAAAACACAGGCAAUAUGUGUCCAUCAAUCCAUCCAUCAGUGAAUGCCGCAGCUGUUUGCUUGGGAUGGGGCCUGAUUUUCAAUUUUCAAUCGUGGGCUGAGUCCUCAAUAGUAAUUAAGCGGUCCUUCGCUAGUCGCAUAAUUUCAUACCCUCUCCCUUCCCUUUUCUGAUGCUUUUACUACUAAUUUCUUCUCGGAUCACAACUUUCAACUCCUCAUGCUGCAUUUUCUGAGAAGCAAAAGCAUUUUAAUAUUCCCUUUAUCCUCUGGUUUUAAUCAAUCUGGAUUACACUUAUCUUAUGCGUAAUAACCCCAUAUACAUAUAUCUAUAUAUAUUGCUUGCAUCAAACGCAAACAUACCACCAGUGCAAUGCAAUUGCGUUAAUGAAGAAGCUUACUUUAGCCGUCAAAAGAUGGACUCAGAUAGGAACUAGUAGGAAGUCGAAGUCAACAAUUUUUAUUAAUGAGCCACAAUUGGAUCAAAUCAAAGCUAGAUGCAAAUGUAUAUUUUUGAUCGAUGAGGAGGAGGACGUACACCGUAGGCAUGCACUUUUAAGAAAAUUGAUAAGCAAAAAAAGAGUCCUGUGACAGUGAUUAGUUGCGGGUUGAUGUGAAAAUUAUCGGUUUAUCCGUCUUUGACAUUAUCCGUUUUGGAUGGGAGGUGUCGCUGUCGCUGUCGCUGUCGCUAAUGAGUUUGUUCAAUUUGUCUAAUAUUCUCUGGAGAAUGAUAAAAUUGUCAGAAAAAAAGGUCGGCAAUACCGACCAAAGAAAGGAGAGUGGGUUAAAAGGAUAAGGAAGAGGAUUAGGGAAGAAAACUGGGAGCAGGAGAGAACACUAAACAGUGGGAGCCCAUGGUAAAAAUAGGACCAAAUUGGGAUCGAGCCUCUUAAGUAGUUGAGCUUCUGUCCAGCUCCCUUCAUCGUUUAAACCGGUACAAUUUGAAUGUAAAUUAACAUGUCUUUAAUAUAAUGAAUUUUAUUUAUUUAUUUAUUUUUUGAUCAUCACAGAAAGUAUUCCUUUCGGAUUAAUUUUUUCCGCACUUGUCCACCCGCUUUUCAAGAUACAUAAGACGAUAGAAGAAAUCAAACUACAACCACACGAUACCAGAACCUAACGAGGCAACCCCAACACCAGCCGAGCCGAUCUCAGGGGCUAAUAUAAUGAAUUUUAUACCAAUUCAAUUAUCAAUUAUGUUCGCAUCAAAAUCGUGUCAAAUUAGGUGGGGCGCAUUUCCCACGAAAUUGACGGCUACGUGGAAGAAGGCCGCAACAAUUAAAGCUUCUUCGGCUCUGGACUGCUUUGUACGUGUCACUUCCAAGCUGAACUCAGCUGACAAGAUGACCUCCUUCGCCAAAGUUCGGCACAAUAUAUAAAUAUUGCAGCCACUGGCCAUUUGGUCCAGUGGUCAUCACCAUUAAAGGUGAUGCUGGAGGUCAGGGGUUCAAUCCCUGUCUCCCACAAAUUUGUCACUAUUUAUGCCGGUCUUAAUUGACCUUUAUCGAUGGAGUCUGUACUCACAUCGAACCCCCUUCUCUUCCCCUUAGAUUAGGCUAGAUUAGGUUAUAUGACAUCUAUCGUUGCGAUAAAAAAAAUAUAUAUAUAAAUAUUGCAGAGUAGAACCUUUUUUGGCUGGCUAAUAAAAUGAUACUCCUCCUGAGAGGAAGGUGGACCAUCAUCAGAUGAAAAAAUAUAAAAAUUUGUUGAUGAAAAAUUGCAAUUCAAAUAAGGCCUAAAAGUUCUUUAAUUUUCGGAUUAGACUUUGAGGGACGAGCGUGGAUUUCUUUGACGUGUAGUGUUUGGCCUUUUAUCAAGUUAAUGUGCAUUUUCUCCCACUCGUUUUUCCGCUACUACCCCAAAUCCUGAAUUCUGAAUGACAUACAGACACCUCAUACAUGAUACACUCAGGAUGGAAUACAUCAGCUUACUGUAUUGUGGGUUCUCCGAGCGAACAAAAAUUCUAGCAGUAAAAAAGAAUUGUCAAUUUUAAAUAAAAUAAUAUCAGAUUACAAUUAUAUUUUGACUCAUGUUCUACUUUCCCAUCUGGAGAGUAAGCCCCAGUUGGCCACCACCGCCGUUUCCGGAUUAUGCCAUGCAUUUUGUACUCAACUGUGUGUGCACUAGUAAACAUGACUUUUACCGAAAAAAAAAAAGACCAAUAUAACUACCCCAGAGUCAAAGGUGCCUCAGAAGGUAAAGACACUGCCAACUCCCUCCGGUGCUGUAAUCGCAAGAAAACACCUAAACAAUAUUGAAAGGAAAACCAAGCACUGAGCUUCAACUCAAGUGGCCACCAAAUAUGUACUGAAUCCCUUUAUAAAUUGUAGGUCGAGAGUUCAAACCUUAUCUGAAUUCAAAAGAAGCGUCAGAACACCUCUUUGAUCUAGUUAAAUUUUUAUACCUAUUAACCUCUUAUACAAAAUCUCUUUAAACUCCCCUCCAUAUAAAUUAAAAUAAAUUAGAUUAUAAAAAUCCCCUUAGACACAGUCUCCCCUCCCUAUAGAUUAGGAUAGAUUAGGUUAUUAAAAUCCCCUUCUACACAGUCUCUUUAGACUCCCUCCGUGUAAAUUAGGAUAAAUUAGAUUAUCGAAAUAUUAUCGUUACUAUAAUAUAUACAUAUAUAUAUAUAUAUAUAUAUAUAUAUUGAAAGGGAAACAACGGAAGGAUGACCACAGAGCCCUUGUAUUGCACUCUUUACAGAAUUACAUCAGUCUAGGUUCUAGCCCAUACACAAGUAAUACAUCUACAAAAUUUGAAGCGGUUGCUCAACGUACAGGUAUCUCUGUACAUGCAACUAUACAUUACAUAUCUAACAAGAGGAAAUCACCAUUUAGUACUAUUUAGGCUAUAUACCACAUGAAACAAAAAACGCAUGUACAUGGGCUCAAACCCCAAGGCCAAUUUCAUGGACUGAUGACUUCAACAGAUGAAACUGAUGAAGGGCUACCUGAUACGAAUAUACAUAUCAUUUUUGGAGCAAGAAGGAACUCCACUUCAGAGGUGCCCAACAAGGGUAUUCGUCUUAGUUCUAAAACAGACGUUCAAUACUGCAACAUUUCUUCAACAGCAAAGACUAUCUUGUCAAAACUUUAUUUUACAAUUCCUCCAGGGGAACCAUGUUACCUUUUCAGAAGUGAGAAAAAUCUUUCAGCUUAAUCAACUUUACGGUACCAUCUCCACCACAUGUAAGGAAACCAUGAGAAACAACUUGAAUAUCAGUAACAGCCGCCUGCAAAACAGGAUCAAAUGUCGCUUCACUUUAUGAUCACAACUUGCAAGUCACUAGAUUGACUUCCAGAAGAAAAGCUUAGACCAUGUUAAAGAAUUACCCGAAAAACUCCUCCAAAACCACGAGAGCUUGGUUGCAGAAAAGUGUGCCUUUCAUGCAAUCUUGGCCAAUGAAAUACUAAUCUGGCCCUCUUGGCAUCCCAGAGUUUUACAUCUCCAUCCUUACUUCCCGUCAGGAAAUAACUUGUAUUUGGGAUGGUAGAUAUUUUGGUCACGCUCGCUUUACAAGAGAAUCCAAGUCAGAAGAUGAUAUAACAUUCACUGGGAGAAAUUAUACAAACAUCUACAGUACCUGCAUGUGCCUUUGGUAUAUACCAGAGCAUCCCAUUUCUGUUCUGGUCUCCAGUUUUGUUGUGCAUGUCUUCAGUGGAAGACAGAUUGACAUUUUGCUCAAUGUUGUCUGUAUGCUUGUGCUUCUUUGUCCUUCCAGUAGCUAUGUAGCGGAAGUCAUGCAGUCCAACAUCACCAGCUUUUCCACCCGUGACAAUAAGGGGAGAAACAGAACCACUUCCAAGAUUAUGAUCAAAGACAGAAAGGGAGCGUGCACCACCUAAAAUCGCACAAUUUCCAUCCUUUUUUUAGCAUGCAAGUCAUCAUCAACUUUAAAUAUUAAGCAUAAAUCGCUAUAGGAGAAUGAAAUUAAGUUUUUCUAAUGCAUGUCAAAAUAUGCAAAUUGAGAGUAGAUAUUCGGCAGAAGAAAAAGUCACACAGAGCAGACAGAAAGCUGAGAGAUACUGAUUUCUAUUUUACCAGAAGGUGAGCUCCUUUUGUUAUUGUCUUCCAUUUUAUGGUUUCUUGUUUUAAAAUACAUCGAAUUCCUUUCUACCACUUUGAUUUCCUUAACGAAUGCAUUUAGCUCUCAAGCAUGCAUCUACUGCCCAUAGCAAUGCUUGAUGGAACAACUGUUGAUAGCGAGCAGGAUGCACAAAUUACCAUCAGUAAGAGUAAAAAACUCUGCAGAAGGGCAGGAAGCAUUCAGUACAACUAACAUUCAGAUAGCCUACCAUACAAGCACUAGCAUGCCUUACAAAUCCGCCAGGAUACAGAAUAUGAACUUAGAAAUUAUCAAGGGCUCUCCGAAUUCCCUUUCAAGCUUUCUCGAGUCACCCUAAUGUAAUGGAUAAGUGAACUUCGCUUACUUCUUACUGAAUAUUCACUAAGAGUUAAUUGGAUGUUUUUGCAAUCAACAAGGGUCCUCUUUCACACUAAAGUAUCAACUUAUCCAUGGCAAAUGAAAGAGGAAAGAUGUACAAAGACUUCAUGCACUCCACCAACUGAAUGGCUUUUGGGGUACUGAUAGUCAGUUUUCCCUCUAAUUCAAUCAUGGAAGCAUACUGAACCACAUAUAUCCUCAACUGACCUUCGUCUCAGUUUAAUGAUAGUAAAAGGACCUCUUCUCUUGCUCCUAGAACUACAGCCAACCUCCCCUUAAUUUCUGCAGCAUAUAAUACAAAUCUUCUCCAGAAAGACAUUCUUGUUACGCUCAUAAUCCUUCAAGAGGAGUAUUAUAAUUUGCGCAUGCUUUUAUGAAUGGGGCCAACACAUUAAGAUUUAAAAAUUAAAAAAAAAACACUUCAAAAAUGAUUUUUUCCAACUAAAUUAAAAAUUCAAUAGGUAAAAAACCUUCAUGACACAUUAUAGAAGCCCGUGAAGUAGCUGUCGGAGCAAGUGUAUCCCAAAUAACCACAUUGAUGCCAGUAGAGCUAUACCCAGCUGCCGCAAUGAUUGACCCACUAGGAGUAACAUAAGUGACAUCCCUGCAAAGAUAGAUGGUAAGUGUUUACCAAAUGUCUACAUGAAAAGAAUCACAGAUAUGAAUUGCAUUUCCAGGGUAGAUCUCAAAUCUAAAACUACCUGGCAUGAGGCAAAGGAAGUGCACACAACUUGUUGACACUAUGCUUUGAAACAAAUGAAAAGAAAAGAAAAAGAAGAAGAAUAGAGAGAUUCAGUCCUCCAUGUUUUUCAUUGAUGGUGGAAAAACAAUAGAUAGAUUAUAUUAUCCAAAGUUGAGCUUCUUUUGCACAUACUUGGGAAGAAAUGAAAGAAAAGGGAAGGCCAUCUUAUAAACCUACUAGAAAUACUUCGAAAUCAACUUCACUUUUUACUUUCUUUCCUUCUGCAUUCAGCUUCCAGAUGCUAUAUUAACAUUUUAAUUUUUUAAUUUCCAUUAUCAAGGAAACAUCAUGACAAGAUAGAUUUUCUUUUCUUUCUCUUCCCUUCAGUUUCCUACAGGCAGUGUCCCAUACUUUUCUUUUCCAAAUAUCGACAUAUUUAUGUUUUUUAUUCAUUUGGUUUUGAAAACUUAAUCUUCAUACUUUUCAAAGUUAUUGCAUGAACCAGGCAUUAUUUUCAGGAAGCAAGACCAACCUUUGAUAUCAUCAACGAUCUGCAACUCAUCAUGAUAAACUAUGACAAUCUCAUGUUCCUAUGAGAGGUAACUACUGCCUAAAAAGAUUCUGACUCAAGGAAGGAUAUAGAACUCUGCUACUUACAUAGAAUAAAUGAAAAAAAAAAACAACUGAUUUUUCUUAACAAACAUCCACUUAGCGUGCUUACGAUGUAUGAUUGUCAAAGCAGAUAGAGGAUUCUGUUGGACCAACAUUGCUCCUUCCUCCAACUUCUAGCUGCCAUGUGCAAACAGUUCCAUCUUGUGCAGCAGUCACAAAUCUGUGUCCACAGUGGUCAAACCUUACAGCAGAGAUGGAUGCAAGGGCAUACGGCGGAGGAACAUUUGCAGCAGGAAGCACCCCAUAUGUAGCAGUUGCUCUGUCCUUACCAAACUGAUCAUCACAAUUUAUACAACCUUUUACAAAUUAUGCAGAAGGGGAAAAGAAAAACAAAUUUCCAAAAGAUGAAUAAAAAAUGAAAACUUCUAAUAUCUAGGACGUUAAGCACAUAUAAGAAAAAUGUGCUAUUUCCAAAUCUCUAAUCCUUGGAUAUGAAGCAAUAGAGUAUUAACUAGUGCAAAUUAGUUCAAUAAGGGCCUAUUCUCGACUAAUGCAGGAAUUGGUCACCUGAAAGUCCACUGACAAACCUUUAACAGAUCCUGAUGAUCAUGGGCUUUUUAAUUGUGUAAUUCUCUGAAGAUCCUGAGCAAAAUUUUGAUAGGAUAGAUACAAAAAGGCUCAACAUAAUGAAGGUAUAUAAAAGAUCUGUUGUAUGAAUAAAGGAGCUUGGACAAGUAUCACUCAUUGACAAGUCCAGACAUGGAAGAUGAAGGAAUCAUAUAAGCCAAUUCUUGCUUACUUUCUAAGUCAGGUAGAGGACAGGAUUGUACACCCUACACUCAGCACUGCAACAACUAUCCUCCUAGACCAAAAAUAUACUUAAAACAUUUUACAGGAACUGGAGGCCAUUUAACAUUAGAGCAAUAUAUGGCUUGUGGUGCCUACUCUUCACCAAUUGAUAUGAUGGUAACGCAAACCUAAAAGUAAGAUAAAGCAAGCCAGAUUAUUCAUAGACACCAACUCUUGGUAGAAGACAUUUACCUCCCAUAAAUAUACAUGUGUGUUGCUGGAACCAACCAGGAAGAGUGGCCUUGAAGGAUGAGUUGAGAAUGAACUGGCAUUCACACUUCCAACAGUAGGAAUUGGAUCAACGAAUUGUUCAAAAUCUGCCUGAACCCCCCAUCCAAGGCUGGAUCCAACCAUGCCAGAAUAACCCGGAAGUCCAAAUGCUCCACCAUCCUUUAGCUCUUUACCUGACUCUGCAAAAAGGCCAGCACCAACAGUUGCGCCGCCUAACCCAAGGCGAGCUCCCUUUCUGCUUCCAAGACCAACUCCAGGAUAAACACAUGUUGGGACAGGAGUAGACUCAGAUCCGGCCCACCCAUUGUGGGGCCAGUCAGCAUCUGCCCAGACAUAUUUAGAUUCAUCUCCACAAGGUAGCCCAUCUUCCAAGUUGAAGCAUAUUAUCCCCUAAAUUUAAAGAUAGGCAUUUCUUAUACCACAAAAGAAUAAAGUAAAUGAAGAUUUGGACAGAUUAAACACUCAGAUUAAGAAAUAACAGUUCAGAAUUGCAAGUAAAAGCAAAUCUACUUACUAAAAAGCAGCAGCACUGAAAAACUUAAUUACCAGCUAUUAUCUCAUGGCAGAUUAUGUUCUAAAUUCUGAGGACAUUCCCCUCUCACUUGUAUUUAUGUCUAAACGAAAUAAAAAACAGCCAAUUCAUUCAAUUACAACACUGGGAGACACUUCUUUACGGAGUAACAAACCUGUGCAUCUGUACAAGCAGAGGUUCAAAGUACUAACUUUUCCCGGAGUCACUAUGUGGCUUCAUUGACGGUCAAUUAUCUUAUCAGUUUUUGACCAAACCUUAGAUACUAACGCACUACUUCCGUAAAAUCCCCAAAAAAACCCUUGAGCUUUCUCAUGAAGAAAACUCAUAUUCAAAUUAAAGAAAGAAGACUAGUAGAUAUAGAUCAAGAAAGGGCCAACAACCCCCUAGUCCAUGUUCAAACAAAAGGGCCUACCUGAAUAACAUAGUUGAGAAAACUUCAAGAAUUAUCCAGAAAGCAUUUAAAAUCGUCUAAAAGCAUUUAACGCAUUCUUAAAAUCAGUAACAUUUGGGAGUGUAAUAUAGGCUGAACAUAAUACGAAUUAGACGGUAUAACACAACAGAAAACAAGUAACCCGCUGCUGUAUUCCAGCAUAUCACAUGAUCAAGAUCUGAAAUUCAAUCCAUCAUUUUAGACUACUCAUGAAACAUUUCGCAUAGUUACAUGAAUCGUUAAUGUUGGAGCUUAGGCACUAUAAUAAUUCCAACCGUCAUCAAGAUGUUCAUGAAGAUUUUGUGCUUUUUAGCUUCCAAGCCAAGUGUGGCAAGUCCAAAAUGAACUAUUGAAAUAGCAAGAUAGAACAAGCUUUUCUACGAAGUGAGCCUGCCCAAAGGCUUGGUUCACUUGUAUAUACUAGGCACCACAAAAAGAUUCUGAAUAUCUCAAUAAUGCAACUCUGGUGAGUAUUGAUGCCAAACAAUCUCUUCUUCAAGCUAUAAAUGGUCUCUUUGCACAGAUGGUCCACGACCCCAGAAAUCAAGGAUACUUCAGACAGCUUAUUUACCAGCCCCCCCCUACAACACAGUUUUUCCUUGCAUGAUGUCUUCUGAUUAAUUAGCAGCUGCCACGUUAAAGGGCAUGAUAUUUUUCCCAAAGAUAGGUCUUUCUGUCUGUUGUAUUUCACAGAUUGGAAAUGUUUAUUUUGUUAAAAAUUAGAAAAGCUCUCUUUGAGGAGUUCAAAUUAUAAUCAUUUUGAAAGCUGCAUCUCUAAUUAAAUACAAUAUAGCUCACACUUUUGCAAGUGCAAACCAAAACUUGGGCAAAACAUCUGGGGAGGUAAUAAAAGAAAUAACAAAUUAUAAUAAGAUUCUCAGAAUAUGUCAGCAUAAAAAAAGGUAAAGCAGCUUGUAGAGGGUCUGUGGUACCUUCCUAUUGGUGGCAAGAGCAGCUUGACGCUGAUCAAUGGAGUUGAUGCACAAAGCCUGCCCAACAUAGGAGAUUAGACAUCAUUCAGUUCAGUAACAGUCUUUCAGGGAUGGUCAACAAAAUUUCUGGUUAUGAAUCAUAUACUUUGUGACGUAAAAGACAAAGGGCGAGGGAAAAAAAGGCACAAACCUCCAAAAGUUCUCCACUUCUCUUAUAUAUUUCUGCAGGAGUAUUAAAAGGAACAACUUUCUCUGUGUCUUUUCCCCCAGAAGCAAUGAAGGGAUGCUCAUUUGGGGUCAGACAUGCAACAGGUGAUCCAGCAGCUUUACAAGGACUUCCAAGUCUAUCAUCUUCUCGAUCAAUUUCCCCACCCUCGUAUUCCCUCAGAAUACUUACAUACACAUCAACCCAGCCUCUGGAAGACUUCUUUUUAAUGCACUCAAACCACUUCAAAUUUUCUCUCACAAAACCAGGAAAUAUUUUCGGAUCAGCACAGAUAUGCCAGAAAAUCUCAUGUGGUGAUAAAUCAGCUUCAUUCUCCCACAUAUCUACAGUGUCAACUCUUUGACUAAAGUACUUGGAUUGGGAAAAAGAUUCAGAAUAAUCUUUUUCUGUGCUUAAAAGUAUGGUUGUAAUUCUUGUAUCUCCUUUCAGCAGCAAGUAUGAAGCUAAUUGUUUUGCACAAUAAAAAGAAAUAUGUGAACAUGUUACAUCCAAUAGCUUGGAAAAUGGUAAAACAGCAGUUGGUAAUUGUACAUCUUUCCCAUCAGCUCCAACUACAGAUAAAGUUGGCACUGUCGGGAGGGGGAACCCCCUUGGAGAUUGAACAGAAGAGCUUUCUUCAAGUACUUCGAUGAGCAAAUCAAGCAGAUGCUUAAGAAAACUAGAAAUUUGGCCCCAAAAAGACACGACAAUAACUAGCCAUCUAUCAUCUUCAGGUAUCUUUACUAAGAUAUCUCCAGCUUGUUCAUGUUGCAUCUCUUCGUUGAUUUCAAAAGCUCCGAUAUCAUUCAAUGGUAACUCAUCAGCCAAAAUCUUUCUAAUCUCAGAAAGAAUUUUGUUUACGUCCUUUAAGAUCUCCUGAGGAGUAUCUUCUUGACUAAAUCUCUUUAAAAUAGGCUUCGAGAUCAGAGCAAGAUGACUCAAGUUCAUUUGGCUCCAGGAAGAUGCAAAAUAGACAUAGUAUUCAGCUAAGUCAAUAACUGUCAAAGGCAUAUGCAGGAUAUCUUCAGUUGAUGAGCCAAAAAACAACUUCAGUGUGGCUCUAAUGCACUGUAAUGACCGUAUGAGAUUCCAUUGAUAAAACUCCAAAGCUACCAACAAGUGAGAACAAGUUUCAGUAGCAAUUCCACUCUUGGUGGAAGACACUUUCAAAUGAGAGCAACUUAAGCUACUGGAAACAAUAAAUCUUGAUACUGUCAAGACUUCUUCAGUCAUCCUAAAAAGUAGCUUGUGCGGGUGAGAAAGGAAAGCAUCAAAUCUACAUGAUUGUUCUGGUGAUAGGAAUCUGGAGCCACACACACGAAAUAUGUGGUAUCCAAUAUAUUGAAGGCCAUUGUUAUGCAAGAAUAAUACGAUCUGUAAAAGAAGAUCAGAAGAAAAACAUAAUUAGUAAGCUCAUACAGAACAAGUGAAGAAGUCAGCAGAGAAUAUGAUUUUAUCAUCGGCAACUAGAUACCUUGUCAAUGAGAUGGAAAGGAUUCAAGGAGAACUUCUGCUGGAAAUAUUCCAAUGUCACCGUUAAUUUUCCAUAAAAAUUUUCAACAGAUCUCUUGUAUUCUUCAUAAGCAGACUCCAUAUAAUUACAUCCACCAAACGGUACCAUAAUAUCCCCCCAGCUUGGAUGUUCCUUUAACAAUUGUGACAGGUACUGCAUAGCCAAAUCUGAUUUAGCAAGUAAUUCUUUCUGCUUAGCCAGAUCAAAAAAUGUCCAGUUUGAGGAAUCUCCAACUGGGGAUAGCUCCAGAACUUGAUUCAGAAGCUCAACAUCACCGUUCUCUAACACAGUUCCUUGAUUUUGCGCACCUAAAGCAUUGCGACAUGAUGAAAGGCACUCCAACGCUUCAAGCUUCAAAUGAUAACAAAAUUGGUCACCAGAAUUAAACAUAUGGAAACCCAUAUUGUACAUAAACAAAAAUACACAUACAACAACAACACUGUUGCAGUUCUUCAUUCAUCUAACCUCCACGAUACAAUAAAUUAGCUAAAGAACAACUAUUCCCAGCAGCUUUCUAGCACCCACAAACAAUAAUAUCAGGUAGAAGAGGUGGCUUGCUCUUUUAUUUUACCCCAUUUUUGUGUUGUGAUUCGGGGGGUGUAUUCUUAGUAUUUUAUGAGUGCACAACUUAAAUCAGGGGUAUGGUCUCAACAAUAUGGUGCACUAGAACUAUGAACCUGAGUCAUUACAGUCAGGUCAUACUAACAGAGUAGGUGAUAGAGGUAGUACCAACAAAAUGCUUGUGAUAGUUAGAUGCUCACCAGUAUGAACUAUUUCUGAUUGGAAGGGACAGGAAGCUUGUAACAACAACAGUGAUCCAGAUUAGAUAUUAAAGGGCCAUUUGAUUAGUAAACAAUGAAUAGUGAAUAAUCACACCAAGAGGUUUAAACAUCUUGCUCUCAGGAUUCAGAAGCAUCAAGUUACUCAACUAGCAUCCACUCCAGGCACUAUAAGUUGAAACUGAAUGUGGAAACAAGGAACAUAGAUACUCAGCUUCAAAAUGGUCAGCGAAAGCACUGGGAAAUGAUGAGACUUGUUCUAAAGGGGACAAAAUUUUCCUAAGCUAUACAGUUAUUGCAGUAACAUUCCCACGCAAAAAAGUUUCCAGGUGACACCAGCAGGUCUAAAUGUGAAAGCAUAAUUUAACACACAAGGAUUACUUACAGGCAACCCGCAUCUGCUUAAUGCAAUAGCACUUAUCAAUACUGCCCACCGACUGAGAACUGCCGCUUUUUGCUCCCCAAUGGCGUUCUUCAUGUUUGUCUUGUUUGCCAACAUCAGGCAGUACUGACCAAUACUUGGGUCCAGAAGAGACUUCUUACUAGUUGAGACAGCUGACUCCUUGUUUAUUAAACUUGUCUGGUCACCAAACAUUGAAAGAUAUGCUUUUGUAUAAUUUCCUAAUAUCCACUGCCAACAAUAGAGAAAAUGGAAAUGAGGCUCCAGUAAUAAUAACACCAUUAGAACCCAUCAAUAUGGAUGAACUAGUACCUCAAAAAGACUUGCGAGCCAGUAAUCACCUCUUGAAACUGCAGAUGGGAGGAUGAUUUUUGAAAUAAGUUGAUGCUCUAAUGGUCCACCAUACCCCUCAACAAGACGACAAAUUACCAAAGCAAGUUGUUCAUCCCCAAGGUUUUUUGCACAGACAUUCACUGCUGAAUAUGUAUCCCCUCCAAGCAAAAAAAAAGCAAUAGCAAGCUCCAGCUGAUGUUUUCCCAUUAAAACAUAAGCAUUUUUCAAAGCAGCUGCCCUAUUCUUUUCAUCCUAUAACAGUGAGUUGGUGCAGAUAAGAGUUUAAAAAUAGUAAAAGAAGAAAAAGUAACUAACUAGCAGGGUUUAAGUAACUUAACAAAACGCGACAAAGUUUACUUCAUAAGUGGCUAUUUAGGUGGAAUAUAAGAAUUUCAAGUUCUGCAAAGACAAUGAAAACCCCUAGUGUUAUCGACAGCCCGUGAGAUACUCCACAAAGUUUGAAGUAUUCUAACUUCCAUGGUUAAAAUGUAUCACUUUUUCCAUGAUUGCCUAAGUAGGUUGAGGAGAGAAAAAACUGAGUCAAGAUAAUUUAGUAAUGAUCCAAACAGAAUGGUGGAGAAAAGCCACUCAUCACAAUGGAAGUUGCAAAAGCAAGAGGUGUGCAUGAACUAGUCCAUUUGCAAAUGGCUGACCCCCUGGCUGGUUGAACCAGCUCAACAAAAUAGCUAAGUUUACUAAUUCUCUUGCACUACUUACAGUUGAGGAGGAUAAGGUAUAAAGGGUAACCAAACCCCAUAACUAUGAUCAACCUUCGCCCAAAAACACAAACAACAAGAAAUGUUAUUGUAUAUUGAAAAAAUAUUCACAAAUCGAAUAUUCCAACAGGCAUUUCCAAAAUAAGGAAAAAUAGUUUUUUUUUGGUAAGUAAGAAUAUAUUAAGGAGAAAACAGUAUUUACUACUGAUGAAACAGAUCUCGUUUUACCAUCAAUUCUACUUGCAUAUAAUAAAAUUUGAAAAAUAACUUCAUCCCCAACUACAUCGCAGAUAAUGGAAAUUUAAUAUGACAAAAGCAUUUUCUUGUUUCCACCUUUUCUAGUUCUUAAAAACCAUCAACAAUUAAUCUCCAAUAUAGAUGAUACAGGCCAAUCAGUAAUACAUUAAGGCUCUAGGAUUUUUUUUUUUUUUGUGGGGGUUGGGUGGAAGGGGAACACAUAUCAUAGGGACAACCAAAAAAUUCAACAUCAAGUAAGGAAGAGACAAAGUAGUAAAACUAUUUACAUAUUCUGAUUUUUUAAAAUCUUAUAGUCUUUCCUCAAAAUAGAGACACGUCUUUUAAUAUCCAAUCAUGAAAAGAAACUAGAGCCUCCACCAACAUUGGACAUAUAUGCUUCAGUUUUGGCAACUGCAGUACUGAAAAUAAAGUAACUGUACCCUACCCUUAAUUUCUUGGUUAGGUUUGGAUCCAGUCCAUAGAAAGCUAGCAUUAAAACCCAUCAAAAGGAAAGGAUCACGUACUUCACUAAAUACAAACCCAAGACUUGAAUGCUUAAACUUUUAGUUUUGACUUUUUCCCUUGUUCAGAAUCAUUUUAUUGAAAAGUGCUUCGAAGUUGAGCAAAAAAAUUACAACAUAAGUAUUACCUGGAAAUUGCGUGAAAGAAACCCCACCAGAGGCUUGUCCUUUUCGUCCUUGCUCAUUUUAAAAAGGCCAGCCAGAACUUGAAUCCUAUUCAAUGCUAUGUAAAGAAGUAUACAAGCCUUGGGAUCUUUAGCUUUCAAAUACUGUUGUCUGGCCAGCUUUUCCAUCUAUAACAAUAGAACAGAUUGCUGAAGAAAGAAAAGCAAUACAUUCUACUACUACUUUGCGUCAUUGAACUGAACAUAACGUACUACUGUAUUUUGCAAAAAUAGCAUCAAUCAUGAAAACCUAAUAAUAAAGCAAUCAAUCAAGAUAUUAAACCUCCUAAACAAAGAGAUUGUACAUGCAUAACGUACACUAGUGGGAAAGGCACACUGUAUGUGUGAGCAAAUUAAAAGAAAAAAUUAUAAGAAAAAAAUAAUUAGCAAUUAUGUAUUCUACUGGGAAAAUGAUACAAGUUUUUUCUUUUGCGGAAGAGAAAGGGGGGGGGGAGUUAUUGGCGGUUAUUGGAGGUUUCUUUGACCAUUAAUUUUGAGUAUUUUUUCCCCCAAGGAAGAUGGUGGUACUAGUUAGCUUGUCAAUGGGAGGAUACAAGAGGAAAUACAAGAAGUGACAAAAAACAAUUUACACCAAGCCCCCUCCUCUUCCUUUAUAUAUGGUAGAGAUAUAUAUAUAUCUCCCAUGACAAGACACUAAGCAUCAUCAGUUAAUGAAUCGACCAAAGAUUGACAAUAGCAAAUAUCACAAAUCUUCAUUCAACAAAAACUACUUUCUGUAAGGAUGCCAAAGGAUACAUUUACCAUUUCCAACAUUCCCGGUAGCUCACAACCACCCCAAUAAGAGUGGGUAGUGUCAACAAAUACACAAAUAAACAACAGAAAUUAAAACAAACCUCCAUCACCUUAGUCCAACAUGACACUUUAUUUUCCUUGUCAAGAGUGCUUCUUUUUGUUUUUUUGCACAUCAGUUCUCUUAGAAUUCUCUUUUUACAUUUUGUAAUUGAAAAUCUUCAAUUAACGUGUCUGCAUUUUUAUAUUUAAAUUGCUUCGCAAAUCCUUUGAAGGGUAGAGGAUCCCAAGAUGAAUGCAGUGAGUUUUUCACAAAUCACCACUAGAACUAGUUUAACACAAAAAAGCUUACAUCUGGAACACAAUGUCCAUACCAACCUCAUGCAGCACCAAAUAAAUCUUGUACUACAACUUUCUCUUCAUAGCAAAUAACGACUGCAAAAGCUAAUCUUUGACUCUUACUCUCAACAAAGCUACACAGCAAUAAAGUAUAUAACUUUCUAAAGAAAAGGCAACUCACAGCUAAAUAUACUUAUUUCACCUGGAAAGUUUUACAAAACUAAAUAACUUUGUGUGUUUAUUGGAAUCAGUUCAUGCCGAUGUACAUGCAUCCAGAGCAAAAAGAAACAUGUCAUUAAACAGAGAUAGUAGGAUUAGCUACAGAUGGUACCUUCAAUCUCAAUUGUGAUGUGUUUGUAUACCAAUAUCCAACACCAACAUCACGCAUUUCUUGCCAAGAUGGCUCGUUAGAUAAAAGAGAAUCAAACAAGUUUUCUUCACAAUCUGAGUGAAAGGCCCAUCCAAUCUGCUCUGAUGAAACAACUAACUCUCCUGCCAAAGGUAACCUACCAUAUAUCUUUGCAAAAUAUUGCAGUUGAAACCUCACUGCAACCCAAAACCUUGCAAAGAGGGAGAAACAGCGUCAACAAAAACAUAACAAUGCUAUUGAAUAUAACAGAAAUGGAAUUAUAGGUCAAAGAGUUAAGUCAUACCAAGCAAAUGACGCAGAAAAGAAAUCAUUGAGCAACAAGAACUAUAUUAGCUUAACUAAAUAUAUUGCAGUUAUUUCCAUCUUUAAGAACCUAGGAGGAUGCAACAGCACCAGGAAAGCACAAUUUGGCAAUUUUUUGAGAUUACCUAAACACCCAGGCAGAACAUCCAACCACCCAAACCAGCCCUGAAGAGAGAGAGAGACAGAGAGAGAGGGAAAGGGAGAGAGAGACAGAGAGACAGAGACAGAGACAGAGGGGCAGAGCAGAACAAUGGUGAUUCACCUCAACUUUUAUUUGAAAGAAAUGUUACAUAAUUUCUACUUUCAAGAGUCUCCAAGUAAUCGGCAAAUGGUAACUGACAGUGAUUUGACAGCAAUCCAUUUACCACAUUACAAUGUAAUAGCGGAAUUUGCCCAAAAAAGAACAUAUAAUUCAGUAGCAGACAAACAAACAGUUCAUUAUACAACCUCUAGUAACACAAGCCUCUCUUGGAAUUAAAGUCAAGUUCCUGUAACUCCAAGAUAUUAAUUUUUUUCAAAAAAAAAAAAUACCUUCGACCAGGUUCAUCGAGGCUUCCAUAAACAGAAACAGUGUGGUGAUUAAUAACUUCUUGCAGGAUAUCAAUGAUAGCAUGCAUCUGCAUCUUUUCAGUAUUGGUUAUGCCAGCAGACUCAUACAGCUUUCCCAGAACAUCAACGAAGUCUGUAGGUUCAGAUCUCACUGAAAAUGAGGGGAGUGCAUUAGCACUCUGGGCCCAACUGGAGCCAAAUGCAAAGGCUCCUUUCUGAAACUGGGAAGAUGAUGCAAUGCUAUCUGCUGCUCCAUUCUGCUGAAAUGAUUUAUCACCUGAGCUUGAAAAAAGCAGCCCUUCAAGAUAAUUUGACAAAGGAACCUGAGAAACAACAUGGCCACCUUUCCCAAAGCAAUACAUUUUCCCAUGUAUUUUAGCGGAUGCAAUGUUCUCAAGAACAUACUGCAAAGUCACAUAUGCCCGUUUCCAGUUACCUGGAGGAAUUUAUGAAGUCAUGGUUAUUUAUGACACAAAGUGAACCAACAAAUAAGAAUGGAAGUGAGGAUUAACAAAUGACAGUACAAUAUAUUAGGUACGUAGCAGGCCAUGUUAAGCAAAGAAGUAAAAGCCAGCGGGUAACAAAAGGAAGUAAGCUGUAUGGGAAAUAAAAUUUUGCAAGAAUAGGAAAAAGAGGUAAAACAUAACCACAGCAGUCCAACAUUCAGAUAUUGCAUGAGCAGGAAUAAAGAAUAUAGCACUGACAAAAUCCAACCCUCCACCCCAACCCAUUCCGAAAAAGAUAAGAAGGCUCUAAAAACUAUAACAGUCAGGAAAACAGAGCAUGUUAAACAAUCUUUGAAGUCAGCUUAUGAAUGUUUCUACCAAAUCAAGUUCAGAAAUUGAACCAUGGAUCAAAUUUUCAACUUAUUUGCUGUUGCUGAAGUAAACCUGUUGAAACAAGAUAUCCAUCAAACUCUUUAUGCACAUCAAUGAUCUGCAUUCUGUAAGAUAUGAUUUUCACAUUUCAGAUGGAGAAAAUAAGCAUGAAACAGACAAGGACAUGCAAGUUAUCAACUUCAACUACUUGUUAAGCAGCCAUCAAAUUACAACAUCUAAAAUUAAUGCACAGAACAUAUAAUAAUCAGAAAAAGUUUGCAUACGAAAACUCAGUCAUGGGAACAGAAAAGCUGAACCAAUAGAGAUACACAACUAAAACUUGUCACUAUUAACUCAACUUCAGGUCCAACUAUUAUGGAACAGUGCAAGGAAUUCUAUCUGUGAAUUUGUCACUAAAAUAGCAGAUUUGCCAGUAGCCCAUUCUUUGUGAUCAUCAAGCCUAUAAUCAUUUUCUAGAUCUUCAAUGGUAUAAUCAUUGGACAAAUGAGAUCAACAGAGACACAGAAUAUGUCCAACUAUGAUAAACUCGUUAAUACCUUUACUUAUGUUCAGAAGAAGUGCCUCAGGAUGAAAAGCAGAUAGAGAUCCUCCCAGCUUCUGUGAUACUUCUGAUAAGCUCCAAAAAUUAAUGAGAGAAUCAAAUUUCAAGUUCUGUUUACUCCUCUCCACAUCUAAGAAUGGGAGGAGAUUAUCUUCUGCAAUCAUAUUCACAGAAGGCCGGGGUUUGAGUUGUUGACCACAGUCCUCAACUGAUGAUCCUUCAGUACCACAAAUGUCAGAAUCAAUGAAAACAGCAGGGAGCAAAUACUCAUUGCAACCAUCAUUCAAAAUGGAAGGAUGAGUACUUUUUGGGCAAAAAAACAGCAGAUUCUUUUUAUCCAAGAGUGAGAAAGGACUGAAGAGAGAAAAAUAGUCAUGGUGUAAAACCCCGACAGUAGCUUUGGGUCCCCAAAAGAAGUCCUGAAUAACAGGAUAUUUAGAAGUUACCGCAAUACAAACCCAAAUAUUUCCUUCAACAUGUUCUUCUGACUUCAAACUAUCCUGUCCUCCACAGCGUCUUUGAGCAUAGAUCUUCAGUUCAUUUUGUGAGCAGACACCCAAUAAUAAAUGGCCAUCGCCCAGCAUCAACCAAUUCAAAGCAACAACUUCUCCCUCAAAACAUAUUGUAUCCUCUAGUAUAAACUUGCCACCAGUCCCAAAGUGCACACAUUCCCAUACAUGUACAGUACUUGCACUACUUAAGCAUCCCGCAUGGGAGACAGUUGCAAUCUUUCGUCCACAAACACUAGGCGAUAUAGCCAAAACUGGGCCUUGAUGUGCAGCAAUCACACCAACAAGAUCCCAGAGUGAUUUUGGACUGGAUAAAUUUGCAGGCAAACUUCUCCAUAGUUUUACAGUACCAUCACUACAACCUGUGACCAUGUGAUAUGUGGAGUAGCUGGGGCUAAAUUCAUCAGCAGAACUCCAUCCUUGUUCUUCAAAUGAGAAAAAGUUACUAGGAUGGACCACCGCAAAACUUGAAAUCAUAUCCUCGUCAUAUGGAGAAGGAAGUAUGGAUGAGUAAGGAUGAAUAGAAAUGAAGUAUCUCGUUUCAGAAAAAUCACUCUCAAAUGUCCACAAAUUGUUCUCAGUAGUAUCACCAAUGUUGCAACCGCACUCGAAACAGUUUCUCAACAAAUCACAAUGAUGGAUUGUUAUGUUCCAUGACAAAGCCUGAAAACUGUUCUUCCAUACAGCUAUUACCAUAAAACUACCAGAAACAGAUGUUCUAUUACAGGCUGAAAGCACAGGAAUUGAACUAAGAGUAGUUGGCCCUCUAUCAAAGUCUUGACUGCCAUAUUGGAUUGUACAUAAACGGUGGACAGCAAUUUUGUCUUCUUCAUUGUCCAUAACCUUUACUAUAAAGCAAUCAAUACCUCCAGCAUGCCCCAUGACAAGAACCCGAACCUCAUUGAAGAUAGCAGGUGCCCAUGCCAAACUAGUGCACUUUGCAUGAGUUUCAGAAAAAACACUUCUCCUAUAAAGUUUGCAUGAGGGAUUCAAUGUCCGCAAGCCAGCAACACCAUUAGAAGCAGUGGAAAGUGACCAAAAGAGAAGCAGUCCAUUUGUAUCCAAAGAAGCAGCAAGUCCAGCUUCGAAUAGAUAAGGAUGAACUACAACCUUUAAUAUAGUCCCAGUGUGACUAUCAAUAUCCAGAAUUCCGGAGGCACAGGAUGAUAAUAAGUCUUUAUCGUAACAAUUAUUUGUAGAUCUAUCUUGUGCAUCAGGUGAUGCUUGUGAAUGUGAGUGCAAAAGAGCCAGAGAAUUACAGGGUAAUACUUGAAGCAAAGAACACAUUGUUGGUGGGGUAAACAUUUUAUUUCUCUUGAUGAAUACUUUAUUGAGUAGCAAUCCUCCAGAUCCCACUUGAGGACUGAUUAAUUCUUGUCUUUUCCAUAAUGUGACCCGGGGAAAUCUCAGUGGAGAAAAUUCAUCAAGACAGUGAAUAGCCCAGAGGGUAACUGUUAAUUGAGGACCAAACCCAAUUAACCAUUCACAAUAGCCAGUCUUAUUGUAUUGAUAAUCAGGGGAGAAAAACUGGGGGCGAGCAAUACUGUCGAUUUCAGUAGCCCAAGUGACAAAUACAGUGGAGCCUAAAGUUCCAUUGAGUGCUUGGUUUACCUCAAUUACAGCAACAACUCGAAAGGAUAACUUUGUCAUUGCAUGAUCACAGCUGUCCUUGCCACCUUUUUUGACCUUCCCAUCAUCACUCUGACUCCAUAGUCUCACACUGCCAUCAAAACAGCUUGUUAAUAACAUCAACCUUGGUGGUUGUCUGACAUCUCCAUUUAGUGGUCUUCCAGUUGAUGGUCUCCAUUGGAUCAUCGAUAUUGGCAAUGGAUGACGAAGCUCAGAUUGAAAAAAUUUGGAAUCUCCAUGGCCAAAAUUCACCGCAACAGAAUUGCAUGCCUCAUUUACUGGAGAAGACAAAAUUCCGACCUGCAAUUUACCAAAAGGAGCUGUUGCCAGAGGUCCUUCAAUUGACCAGCUAGCAGAAACAAGAGUGUGAGGCACUGUUCGCUUGAAUUUCCAAGCCCUUUCCCAGGAUUUCUCUCUCUUUCUCCAUAAGACUAUCUCAAUGCCUCCUACAAUUAUCCCAUCUCCUGAAACAGUCCAUUGUAUCACCUCUGCCUUGGUAGAUUGUACAAGAAUUGCACUCUGGCUCCAACAAAAAGAACCUGAAUAUCAGUAAAGAAGUUCAUACUCACAAUCAAGGGAGCAAGACACGGUUGACCAAAAAAUUGGGAAUAGUCAAAGCAAGGUGCCAUACAAUAAAACCAAAGUAGUUAAUUAUUAAUGGAGGAUAAGGCAUCCGAUUAUCGGGUUGCAUGAACCAGUAUUCUGCAGCAGAAAUCCCAACAGAUAGAAUCCACUAACUCCAAUCGUAAAUGCUUUUACUCAUUACUAGUUAUUCUAGAGAUCAGAUCAUCAUAGCACGUAAGAGGAUACUUGACAACACAAUUUGCAGUGUCCCUCAGGUCUCCAUUUUUUGAUGCAACUUCAUAAAGUUAAAGAACAAAUAAACGGAAAAAUAAGGUAAAUGUUGUCUAGCCCCAGCUAGAAAGGUCAACAAGGAGACGUUUCAGAUCUCAGUAACUAAAACUAUGGCAUUCAUUGUCCUAAAAUCCAAUUACACUAAAUAAAAGCAAGGAGUCUUCAUGUCAAAUCAAUUAAGUCUCCGCUUCAGAUAACCAGCUAGUCAGAAGGUAGAAACCGUUACCCCGUAUGUUUCAAUGGACUAUUCACGAUCUAAGCUAGAGAGGACAAUAAAAUCUGGAUUUCUCUCCGUAACUCUCUACUAUAAGUAGCAUAUUCACAAAACAUAUUUGGUCUCCAAACCAAUUUAAACAACAAACUGCAAUUUCAAGAUACGAAACAUGAAAACAUCCGAAUAAUUCUACAAGCGACAUUAGAAUCAACAUUUGAACUUACUAUUAGAAGGAGGAAUAUCGGAAUUAUAAGAGAAUACUCCAAUGCAAUUAUCCAAUGCCGCAGCUAGGUCACCAGCGGAAGGUGUAGCAGGGGACCAAGAGACUGCUGAUACAAUGCCCGUGCCGUCGAUGGAGAGCUGGAAGACCUGGCGGAAAAUUGGACCGAUGAGGGUCUCGGAGUGGGAAAGUGGAUUGGGGAAGUGAGAGAUGACUAAGAGAGAAGAUGCUCCGUAGGCGAUCCAUGUGUAGCCGGCGAAGUCGUAUAACCAGUCAAUAGCCGGUCCGGAGGCUGAAUUGGUUAGAUUCGGGGCCGGAGGGAUGAUCUCCGAUCUAAUUAGACGGAGAGGUAAGUGGUGGGCAAUGUCAAAUAGUGGGGGAGACGAAGAAUUGGUUGCUGCGCCGUUCUCUGCCAUGGUGGUCGGUGUGUAUAAGCACCUGCAAGAGGCACUCCUCUAUCCCCCGACUGGCCUGAGCCUUUCUAAAUUAUUCAUUCCAUUCUAAUAUUUGAUCAUUUAAAUAGGAAAUAUAUUUUUCGUAAAAUGUUCUUCUUUUACCCUCAUACAAGUUAAUUGCAAUAUUUAUGGUCAUAUAUUUUAAAUAAAAAUUUUAUUAUUGAAGCAAGCUUUAAUCUUUUAAAUAUUUUUUAUAAAAUAAUUUUAUAUUGAUAGUUAUAAAUGUAAUUAUGUUGAAAACAUAUAUUUAAAUAAAUAAAAGUAAAAGUAUUCAUGAAUAAUUAUAUAUAGUUAAAAUAAAAGUAAUUUUUAUAAGGGUUAAAAUGAAAAUUUACAAAGUGACAAUAAAUGUUAACUCUAAUAUUAACUCCAAACCCCUUUUUCAAACUUUAUAUAUAUAGCAUAGGUAUCACCUGGACUAUUUGUAAACUUAGUUAAUAUUUGAAUAUAAUUUUUCAUAAUAAAUUAUUUUCUUGCGUUUAAAAUUAUUAGGAAACAAAUGUUUUAAAAUACUUGAUCCUUUGAAUUUUGAACAAUUGUGCAAUAAUUUUUUAUUAAACUAUAAAUUAUUGAUCGUAUGAGUUUAUGUAAUUAUAAUUUACAUUGCUAAUUGUAUUUGUUAGAGGAUGCAAAACUCUAGCUUUUACGUUGCUAAUUAUACUUGCUAGAGGAUGCAAAACUCUAAUAUAAAAAUCUAAAUAUUAAAACAAAUCAAGUAUUACAAUUAAAGAAUUUUGAUAUCAAACCUCGCCCAUGGUUAAAGUAAAAAUUAUCAAAAUUUCACAUAAAUAGACAAAUAGCAUCGUAGAACAAAUAAACCAAAAAGUAUUUAAAUAUAUUAUGUCCUAUAAAGUAAUCCAAGGUAAAGAAGUCAAACUCAUUUUUUUUUUUUACUCGUAUUUACUGUAUUUCAUUUCGACAUCAAAAUAUUGAUUAUACUAAAUAUUAAAAAUGACUUAAUAUUUCAUUCUAACUUGUGCACUAGACCCUGGAAUAAUAAUUUUUUCCCUUCCGUAUUUGGUUGAACAUAUCGAGAGUGGAAAUAAAUUUUUAUUUUUGAUAUUCUCAUGUACCAAAAUGAGGGGUAAUAGGAAGCAUGUACUCACGUAAAUAUUUACUUGUUAAUAAGGCAUGCACACUCAUUUGUGUGCAAUUUUAGUUUCCUCGAAAAAAAAUUUUAGUUGCAAAUUAGACAAUUUUCUAUCCAUAGUAUGUUUAUGGUUUGGCUUUUUGUUAAGGGUAAAAUACCAAAAAACACCUUGUGAUUUAUUAAAUGUUUAAUUUAACUCCUUAUGGUUUGGAAACGUAUAAUAUAACUCUAUGUGAUUUCAACUAAAUUGAAAAUUGGAUGGAAAGCAUCAAAUUUCAUGGUUAUUGCCCCUGUAUAAAUGAACUCCCUAUAGUUUGUUGAAUAUUCAAUUUAACUCUCUCUGAUUUAAAAAACUGUACUAUAACUCCCUGUAAUUUCAACUAAAUUAAAAAUUAAAUGGAAAGCAUCUCACGUAUAGUGGGGGCAACGUUAACAUUUCACACACAACCAUUAGAUUAGAUGCUUUAUGUUCAAUUUUUAAUUUAGUCGAAACCACAGAGAGUUAUAGUAUAUGUUUCUAAACCAGAGGGAAUUAAAUUGAAUAUUUGUCAAAACACAGAGAGUUUUUUGAUAUUUUACCCUUUUGUUAAGUACAAAGACUUGAAGUUAAUAAUAUUAGAACCAAUUACUUAUAAAAAAGCGUGACCAAAUUAUUUGCACACAUUGGAUAUUAAUAGGAAGCCAUAAUGGUUUAUGCUAGGAAUGCCUAACAAAAAUAGUUUAUACUGGAAAUAUAUGUGGAAAAUAAGAAUACUUAGGCAUCAUAUGGAUUGUGAGUUUUCUAUGAAAAUUUUUAAAAAUAUUCUCUUGAGAUAUUUUUAAUUAUCUUUUUAUCUCACAUACAUUAUAUCGACAUUUCUUCAAAAACUCCAAUUGAAUGGGUCAGUAUUCAUAAGAGGGUAUGAGUUUUGAAAGUUUUAUGAAUGAAGAAUGGUCACUAUUUACUUAAUAAAAUAGUUAAUGAAUUUAUUGUUAAUUGACUAGAUUACUCUUGUAUCAACGAGCAUUCUUUAUUGAGUAAAAGUAUGUAAUUUUAAUGAAUAAGCAUGUGUAGUUAAAUGUAUUGAAAUAUUUAAAUUAAUAUAGAUCGUGUACUUACGAGUUUUUGGCAAAAAUAAUGCUCUUACUAAAAAAUAUUCUCAAUAUGAUUCACUUUCAAAUUUUAUUCCCAUAAUGAUGUUAUUGUUGACAUAUAGUUAUUCUGAUUGCCAUGUAGGAUAACAAGAAAGAAAAAUUCUAAUCUAGUUUUAUAGUUUCUAACAUGAAUUAAAAUUUUAAAAUUUUUAUUAUAGAGGCACAAGAAAAUUGCAUAACUUUUAUAUAAUUAUUUAAAAUAAAUUCUACCAUUAUUGAUCUUGCCAUCAUUGGUCUCUGAAUUUUUCUAAAUGUAUCAAACCUAUUACAUAUAAUUUUUCAACAAAUAAAUUUUAACAAUACAAAUAUUGCAACGAAAAUUUUAUGCAAUUACAAAAACUUCAAAACUAUUAUAUUUGUUUAUGUUAUCCUUCCUAUUUCUUGAAAAGACAAGAGAAUAAUAUUCAUUUGUCUUGAAAUUAUCAACUCAACAAGAAUAUUUUUUAGAUGUUGUUAAUAUAAAUAUUGGCUUCUUAGACUUACGUAGGGCCUGUUUGGAAUCGAGUUUUUUGACCAAGUUUUUUAGCUACUAGUUAUUUAACAACUUUAGCUACAGGAACACAAAAAAACUUAACAAAUUUUUUAACCUACACACUUCAAAAUAUCUAAUACACAAAAAACUUUCUCUUUUCUUCUUCUUUCUCCCCCACCUCGAUCCACCACACAUUCAUUGCCGCCCAGCACCUCCACCGCCGCUUCCGGCGCCGGCCACCUAUUCCCGCACCGGCGUUUCCUUUUUUUUUUCCUUUCUUUCUCCCUCUCCCUCUCUCUCUUUCCCUCCUCUCUCCCCCUCUUCUCCCUGGCCACCCUCCCCCUUCCCCUAACUGCUAUUUGGUCGCGCGACUGGUCACGCGACCAGAUUGAGCAAAGGGGGAGAGGGAGAUGGAGAAGAGAGGGAGAGAAAAGCAAAAAAAAAAAAAGAAAAAACUUCCACUGCUGGUUCUCUAGCUUCGGGAGGGAGAGAGGGAGGGUGAAGGAGAGUAGAGGGGGAGCAAAGAGGGGAAGAGAAAAAGAAAAAAAAAUUUUGGGCAUGCAGGCUGCUAGUUCUUCAACGAGGCAGAGGUGAUGGGGGAGGGAAGAGAGAGAGGGAAGAAAGAAAAAGAAGAAGAAGAGAGGAAAGAAAAGAAAAAUGAAAGAAAGAAAGAGAAAAAGAAAAAAAAAAAAUUGAUAGGACCAUGGCUGCUGGGGUGGCAGAGGUAAUGGGGAAGGGGGAGGGGGAAGAAAAGAAAAAGGAAAGAAAGAAAAAGAAAAAAAAAGGAAAGGAAAAAAAAAGUUUUUCAUCUUAAAAAAAUUUUCCAAAAACUUCUACAGUGCACUACAUUAAAAUUUUAGACAAAUUUUCAAAAAACUCAGGUUCCAAACGGGGCCGUUUGAUAAGAGAAAGAUAAUGAAAGAAAGAAAUGCAAGAAUACCUGGAGAGAAAAAUGGUGAAGAUAUUAAAUGGAAAAGAAAAAUGGAGGGUGCUUCUAUAUCCAUCACAGCACAUAUGCAGUCUAAAUGGCAAAAAAAUAAUUAUAAAGGUAAUAAAUUUUAAAAUUAUGUUACUUUGGAUAUAUAUUUUAGAAGAAGAAUUAUUUUGACAAUAAACUUAUAUACUUACAAAUCCAUUUCACUGGAAGUAAAUCUUACUACUGUAUUUUUUGUUUUACCUGUUAAACUUUGAAUAACUUUAGGUUUGUCAGCUUUUCUUUUCAUCUCUUAUAAAUUCCUUAACACGUUAAACAAAUAUAUGCUUGAAGGUAUUCCUUUCGUCCCAAUUAUUUUGAAAAUCCAAUUUAUUAAAAAUAAUGGUUUAAUUGUGAUAUUUACGUCUCUCUUUCUAAUAUUAUCCUCACAAUGUCAAAAUUUGAAUUUGAAUGGUAACAUACAUGUGAUUAAAGGAAGAGACUAUAUAAGGGCCUGUUUGGCAUCCUAGUUUUUUACCAAAUUUUUUAGCUACUAGUUUUUUAACAACUUUUGCUACAGGAACCCUAAAAAACUUCUCAUGAGUGGCGGGGGAGGGGUCGUGCUAGGGAGAAGCUGGGGAAAGGUCAGGGGGUGGAGGGUGGAGGGGGUCGCAUUGGGGAAAAGGCAUGGGGGUGGCAGGGGGAGGGGGUUGCGGGUAGCAGGUGGGAAGGGCGGGGGAGAGGGGGGAAAGGGAUGGUGGGCAUAGGGGGUGGCGGGGGAGGGAGUGGGAGGGGUGGCGGCCCAAGGGGGGUGGCGGGUAGAGGAGGGAGGAAAGGGAUCAGUGGCGGGCGAAGGGCAGAGGGGAGGAGAAGGAGAAAGGGAGGAGAGGGGUGGUGGGGAGGUGGCGGCUGCUGGGAGGUAACGGGGAGGAAAGAAAGAAAGAAUAAGAAGAAAAAGGAAGAAGAAGAAGAAGAGAGGAAAGAAAAGAAAAAUGAAAGAAAGAAAAAGAAAGAGAAAGAGAAAGAGAAAAAGAAAGAAAAAAAAAGGAAAAAAAAGUUUUUCACUUCACAAAAACUUCUCCAAAAUUUUUCACCUUACAAAAACUUCUACAAAAAGUUUUUCAUCUUACAAAAUACUUCUACAAAUUUUUUUCAAAAACUUCUACAGUGCACUAUAGUAAAGUUUUAGACAAACUUCCAAAAAACUCAGGUUCCAAAUAGGCCCUAUAUUGGAAGGAGAAAUUAAAAAAUGUUUUGACUUUCUUCCAAAUAUAGAAAGUUUAACAUUAUUUGAAUGGCACAAGGGAAGUAUUUCUUUUCUCCUUCAUAAUAAUGUCACUUACUAUUUUUGCUCAAUUUCAGGUGGACAACAAUUCAGGCUCUUAAUUGGUGGAUGAAGUUGCAUGGUUACAGGUGGCAUAUGUCAGUGGAAUAAUCUGCUCGUUAACGCAUUGAGUUAGCGUAUUGCCAUGUAGUAGUAAAUAGGGAUGCUAUCAAGCCAAGUCACUCGUGAGUAAUUGCUGAGCGGCUUGAUCAAAAACUUGACUCGAGCUCAAGUUGCUACUGCUCGUUACGUGUAACGAGUCAAAUUCGAGCAUCAAAAGUAAAUACUCAAGUAUUCGAUGAGCUUAAUCGAGUAUUUAUGUUAUUUAUAUAUUAUAUAUUUUAAUUAUGGAAUGACUAUUAUGGAUUUGUUUUUUAAUAAAUUUACAUGAAGUAAUGUUCAGUAAAAAAAGUAAUGGAUGGCAAAAUGGUUAUCUAAUAAACCUAAAAUAAAAAGAAUAAAAAAAGAAAAGAAAAAUGGGCUCAAGAUUGAAUAGCUCGAGUUUGAUAAGGCUUGCAAUUUACUCGAGUUCAAAUGAGUCGAGUUUGAACUUGAUUUCCAUUAUAUUAAAUCGAGUUCGGCCUCAAAUUUAUAUACUCGAUCUAACUCGAGUGACACUGAUAGUGAUCGAAUUCGAAUUCGAGCAUGGUACCACUCGAGUUCAACUUGACUCGAUAGCACCCUUAGCAGUAAUAGAGGGCCAGUUUGUAAACAUCUCCACUCUCCUAUAUUUAGCUUUGGAGGAGAUAUGGUUGGAUUUGGCAGCGAUUAAUACGAUUAUUGUACCUUUUUUUUAUAAUUUGAUGUAUACUUACAUGAUUUUUGUAAUCAUAAAAUAUAAUAAAAUUGUCAUGAAACAUAAUAAAAUUAUGUGAAUGUAUAUUAAAUUAAUAAAAAAAUCACCACAUCACAAAUUGUAUCCAAGGCAAACCAUACGUAAUAUCGCUUGCCUCAUAUGGCGUUUGAGAACAAUUUUUGGACGCAAACAAUCUCACGUAUGUUAGAGUGAACAAAUUGAUCAAAAAAAAUCAUAAAAGGGAUGAAAGCUUUUUAAAAAUGGCUAAUUACAAACUCUCUCAAAGUAGAGUUGAGUUGUAUGGAGACUUUGUAGUAUUUGUUGGUCGUUCAAAGUUGCGCUUGUCGUAUCGAAUCCAAUUUCCAUUUCCAAUCCCUACUAACCAACUUGUAUCAGUCAGCAGCGCCACCACUCCACCGUGCACCUGCCCUGCUACUCCGCACUACACUACUUAUUUUCAAACGGAAAUGCCAAAAGUAUGCAUGCUUGCUUUCAUUCCCGAAUGUAUCCUUUUUUGUCUUUUUCACUACAACUAUAAGUGGCCGUGGUGUAGUCGUUAAUACCAGUACCUCUGGUGGAUAGUAUAGUCAAUUCGUAUCUCAGUCCCCACUCAGAUUCCCUGCUUAACCGAAAACCAGAAAAACACACAUAUCCCCUCCCGCCUCACACAGACACACAGUGGCACAGCUGUCCUCGCUCCUCGCUCACUAACGCGCUACCCCCAUUGCCAUAUGGUAUAAAAACUUCCCCCCCCCCUUUCUCUCUCUCGCUUCACACAGAGACAGCGCGCAAAAUUGAUUUCGCUCUCUGAAAUGAGAUAUUCAACUUCAACGACGAGCACGCCUUUACUCUCCGACGAUGUUACCCGGCCGGAUAUUAAACAACUCAACUUCAUCCAGACUAACGCCGCAAUGUCCUUCGAAGACGCCGUUACUGACGCUAUCGACGAUGUAACUUCCGAGCCCGACGAACAGCCACUUUCUGCGGCAGUUGUUUUCGGCGGUCAAGCAAAGGAGAAAGUGAAGAAGAAGGUGAAGAUGCAGGGCGGAAGUAGUCCUGAGAAUGCUACAGCUGGAGGUGACGCCAACCAGUUCACUUCUACAGUCGUUAUGAUGAGCGCUGGGAAUGGAAGGCCGACGUCGGGGUUAAAGCCGUCGCCAAGUGUAGGAUCAAGCCUGGAGAGCCUUGCCAAGUCGGAGGCUGAUCAGAAUGAUAACGUUUCGCCGUGGAUAAUGGGAGAAGCGUGGGAGAGAUUUUACAAGUCCUUCGUUUACUACAAGGACAAGCCCGUUGGCACUCUCGCUGCUCUCGAUCCUAGUGCGGAUGCCUUGAACUACAAUCAGGUUUUACACGAAUACAUUUCUCCAUAUACAAGCUUUUUUCCUUUUCCUUUUUUUCUUUUAGUCAAUGUAAAUAUCUCUGUGUUUAUAUUUAUGUAUGUAUGUUCUUUAGUGUAGCGAAAAAUAACAUCAUAAUUUUGAGAUGUAAUGCAUCCAAUGAGAUCGCAAAUAUGUUUAUCAUGAUGAUGACAUUCUCCGUUUCCAUAUGAAAAUAUUUACAUCAUAAAUAUGUUUCUUGAUUAUUUGCCUUUCAUAUCUUGUUGUAUUAGCUAGAAUUAUUCAGAGUUCUAGUACACAAUGGUUUAGAUGUAGACACAGAUUUCUGUCUCUGUGUAUAUUAGUAUAUAUUCACUUUUAUCUUUUUAACAUUUAUCUUUAGGGAUAUAAUUGACUAGCUCUAUAUAUUUUCAUGAACACGUCAUGCAUAAAUAACUCCGUACAAUCGAUAGUAGUCAAAAUGUGUUCAAUUUUAUUUUUUUAUCCAGUGCGUUCAAAAUUUUAGUCGUACAAAGGUACCAUAUGUGUAUGUAAGAAAUCGGUCCUCAAGAAAGCAACGCACAGAGAUCUGAUUAAUGUUUGUUGACGUGUACAUUUCUAAUUUAAUUCAUUCUCGGUGGUUGGGUUUUUGUUUUUGUUUUUGUUUUUUUCUAACUGCAGGUUUUUGUCAGAGAUUUUAUUCCCAGUGGGUUGGCAUGCCUGAUGAAACCGUCAAAGGAAGGUUUAGAUAUGGUGAAGAAUUUCCUGCUAAAGACUCUCCACCUGCAAGGUAACUGGGAGAAAAGGAUUGACAACUUUACUCUUGGACAGGGAGUCAUGCCCGCCAGCUUCAAAGUUCAGUACAAGCCAGGUCUCCAAAAGGAUGUUUUGGAACCAGACUUCGGUGGCACUGCAAUUGGAAGGGUGGCACCCGUAGAUUCUGGGUUUUGGUGGAUCAUAUUGUUGAAGUCAUACACAAAAUGCACAGGCAAUCAUAGCCUUGCUGAAUCGCCUGCUGCCCAGAGAGGAAUGAAAUUGAUUCUCAACCUUUGCCUUGCUGAUGGCUUUGAUACAUUCCCAACACUCUUAUGCGCUGAUGGAUGCUGCAUGAUUGAUAGAAGGAUGGUGAGCUUGCAUUCCCAUAUAUUUUGCUGUCUUUACUAACUUUUUAUCGGAAUCGUCUGAUGCUGUAUAUAUUAUGGAGUUUCCAUAAUAUAUAUUGCUCCAAUCUUGUUUGAAUUAUUUCUAGUGCCUUCACGCUUGUGACAUGCCCUAUAGAGUUAAUGAUGAUUAGUUUAGCUCGUGUACUGGAUUAAUUUGACGCUGUCUCAGUUUGUACUGCCGGUCAUGUGAAUGUCCAAGUAUAAAAUUGUGCUGGUUGAUACAUUCAGUUUACCAGACUGCUUCACCAUCAAGUUAGUAAUUUACUUUCAACUUUGAAGAGGUUACUCAGGAGUUUUGUAAUCCACUGCUUGCUUAUUACUCAAAUUCAGUUUUAAAUUUCACAUAGUUUCUUAUGUUGCCUCGGUAAUCCAACAUGCUUCAAUUGCUUUUGGACUAGGGGAUGUACGGAUAUCCAAUCGAGAUCCAGGCGCUUUUCUUUUUUGCGCUGAGGUGUGCUCGACAGUUGCUUAUCCCGGAACAUGGUAACAAGGAAUUGAUCGAACGCAUAGACAAGCGUAUCACUGCUUUGAGCUACCAUAUCCAAAAGUAUUAUUGGCUUGACUUCAUACAGCUGAAUAACAUUUAUCGUUACAAGACUGAGGAGUAUUCCCACACUGCUGUCAACAAAUUUAAUGUCAUUCCUGAAUCUAUCCCUGACUGGGUGUUUGAUUUCAUGCCACUUCGAGGAGGCUAUUUCAUUGGUAAUCUCAGCCCAUCACGCAUGGACUUCAGGUGGUUCCUAGUUGGAAACUGUAUUGCUAUUUUAAGCUCUUUAGCAACCCCAGCACAGGCAACAGCUAUCAUGGACUUAAUUGAAGAGCGCUGGAGUGAAUUGAUCGGUGAUAUGCCUCUGAAAAUUUCAUAUCCUGCACUCGAGGGCCACCAGUGGAAGAUUGUUACUGGAUGUGAUCCCAAGAACACGCGUUGGAGUUACCACAAUGGUGGAUCUUGGCCAGGUUAGUCAGUUGUCCACGGUCUCUCCAAAUCCUGAGAUGAUGAUAAAUCAUAAAAGUCACUUGGUUGAGAGUAUUAUUUUCAUGCUUUAUAUGUCAGUGAAACUCGUUCCCUAGAUUUAACUCAUCUCCAACAAUGGAGUGUGAUGGUUACUAUUUGCAUUUGGUUCAGUUCUUACAAUUGAGGGUGGUAAGACAAUCUUACAAUUGUUGAAGUAUGUGAAAAGACUGAAUAUGUAGAUUACACACAUUUGGUCAACUUGAGAGGCAUGACACUGGAGAACAUAGUAAUUGGAAUUACUUGUAUUUUUUCUUAACCACUGAUAUGCUUUUGUGCAGUUCUGCUAUGGCUACUUACAGCAGCAUGCAUCAAAACAGGAAGGCCUCAAAUUGCCAAAAAGGCAAUAGAGCUGGCAGAACAGCGCCUUGCCAGGGAUGGCUGGCCCGAGUACUAUGAUGGUAAGACUGGGCACUUUGUUGGUAAACAGGCAAGAAAGUACCAAACUUGGAGCAUUUCUGGGUACCUGGUGGCGAAGCUUAUGAUAGAGAACCCUUCCAAUCUCCGAUUUAUCUCUUUAGAGGAAGACAAAAAAAUUGCUCAACCAAGGCUCAAUCGGUCUGCCUCAUGGUCCUCUUAGAUUGUCAACUAUCUGCAUCUCUUUGGAUAGUUAUUGUUUCGCAGAAAAAUUGCUCAACCAAGUCUCAAUCGGUCUGCCUCAUGGUCCUCUUAAAUUGUCAACUAUCUGCAUCUCUUUGGAUAGUUAUUGUUUCGCUCAGCAGAGUUUUGGAAUGGGGUACGAGAGGCUUGUUUUCACUAUUUUGCGAACUUAGAACGCAGAGCUGUAGAAUUUGGCAUACAAUUGAAUUCUGACCCCGUCUACGGGGGUUAAAUGUAGUAGCGUGCUUGAAUUUUGAAUGAAGAAGAGCAUGAGCCUAUUUGCUGCAUCUGAAACUUCUGCAGUUUUGCUAAUGCUUUCUGAAAAACUCACAGGAGUGUUUGAGAAACUACAUCUUUGGCUUUAGAAUUUGCUGCUUUCACAUGAAAUUUAGCAGUCGUUUAUGUUCAGUAUAAUCUGUAUCUAGUAGUGUUUGAUUCCAUGCCAUGUCUAUUCUAUAUAUAUAUAUAUAUAUAUGACUAUCUAGUACCUGUGCCUAACACGGUUGUUUGUUGUAGGUUAUAUUAUUCCUUGGUUGGUGUUCACUGGACUUUUUGAUGUUUUGCCCUAACAGACAGGUAUCCAAGUGGGUUAAAAAAUAAAAAUAAAAACAGUUGCAUGAAUCAUGGAUUUGUGGCGUGAAAAUUGUGUGUGAAUGUCGUUGGAUUAGUCAUGAAUCAACUUAGCCAACCACUUGCAAAAGAUGCAAAGACAGGGAGGUAUCAAGCAAAUUACUGGAACUAGGCGGCAACACACUCCUUCCAAGUAUUCCAGGCCACCGACGUUAUGAUAGAGGGGUAUUGAGGAGAAGGAAACACUGAAGACGAAGUGGAGAAGGGGCCAUAUCCUUUAUCCUACCUCUAUCAUCCGUUGAAAGGAAAAGAGCAUAAUCAAGCAACGCAUGUUUCCUUUACUGUUGGAAUCCUAGCUCCAAAUGCAGGGCAUAUCCCCUGAUCAUUCGGUUGUGUUCAGCUGUUAAAUAUUUUCUUUAUCCUCUUUAUACACGGUGUACAUAAAAUUUUGAAGGAAACUUAAAAAGCAGCACUUUUGUUUUCCUGAAAAAGAUUUUUUUUUUUUUAAAAUCGUUAAUUAUUUUUUAUAUUUUUCAAACGAGAAAGAGCGUACUACUCGUAUUAUUUUACGGGAAACGUCCUCCAUAUACUUUCCGUUACAGAGCAUAAAGAGAGAAUUGGAUUCCCCCCUUUGUCUCCUUCACCUCCUCAUAAAAUCUCCCUCUUUCCUUCCUUCGAUAACCUAAAGAUCAUUAACUUACAACAGCCAGUCAUCUCUGCCUUUUCCUUUAUUCUUCCCGGCUCCCCAGGAAACAUCCUUUUUACCACUCUCUCCUCUGGUUACAGGAAGAAAAAAUUCAAGUAAAAGAAGUGUUAUUUUGGUGGAAAAAUACUCAAAUUUCAAGGUAGUAGAAUGUCGGCGAAUCCAACGGUGCAAAGCAAUUGCGGGUUUAUGAAUUGCGAAAAGCUGGAUAGGAUGGCGAAUUGGGUCGGGAACAGCGUAGCCUCGGCGUUCUUCGCAUCACUGGAACGCUGCUCCUGCAUCAACCUCAGCACCUCCCAUGACGACGGCGAUGAUGACGAUUUUGAAGAGGCCAAGGACCGCCCCCUCAUCCUCACAAAACCCAUCUCCUUCGACGAUCCUCCUUCUCUCCACCACCACCACCCUACCUCCACCGCCGCUUGACUAUUUGGGCCAACAAACCCGGAAAAGCCAUUGCCUUGUACCAAAGCGUUUAAUGCUUUUGUUUCGAUUGUAAAAAGGUAGAAGAAAAAAAUCCUUUUUUUUUUUUUUUAAUUUUCUUUUCCGUUCAUCAUCAGUGGGAUUCGGACCCCUCUGCUCUUUUUCUUUUUGCUCUGAGAGGACUACGAGCUUAGAAGGAUGUGGCUUUCUGUUAAUAUUGGUAAUAAUGAUCAUGCCUGCAACAUGUAAUUUCUGCUCAAUAAAAGUUCAGACCUUUUGCCCAUUGUUCCUGUUAUUACCUUUUUUUUUUUUUUUUUUAUUAUACAUAUCCAUUUAAUCAACUACUUACUAAUGAUGGUUCUUUAUGUCUCUAUAAUCUAAUCUCUAUAAGCUGUUGAUAAUAGAUGACAUUAAGCUUGCGGAUGAUUUGGCUUGGCUUAUUGUCUGCAUAAUUUUGUCUUAGUCCUUGUUAGUGUUAAGAUGAACAGAUGAGAACAUCCGCCCCUUUUUCUAAUAUUUGCUUAAUUGUUGUUUUGAGAAGAAAGGCCAUAUUAUAUGCAUACAGAUGUCAUACAAGAUGUAAAGAAUUAAAGUUACAUCUUCGCAGUCGAGCUUUGUUUGGUUCGCCUUCUUCAAAAGUUGCUUUAUUAAGGUUGUCUGGAGCAGCAAUUUAUGGAGCCCUUAUUGCUCUUUAUUUUAAUUGCUUUCAAGCUCUUUUACUCCUGUGGUUGAAUUCAGCUUCGUUAUGAAUGACGUGCUAGCUUAUUCAGUCCUUAUGACAGGAAUAAAUAAAGAACCAUUCAGGUUCCCUCAGAAAAUACAAAAACCUCUCAGUUUAGAUAAGUAUGUUAGCCUGUUCGCUGAGAACAGUGUUAAGAAUGCAAAUUAUGAUUGCGGAGAAGUAUCCCUAAUGCAUUUCAGCAUUCUCAAUUCCUUACUUAAAAAUUUCUGUCAACAAUGCUCUGGUAUGAUGGUUCUCUGAUGCUAUUUGAAGAAAAAGUGCUCAUUGGAUUGUACAUUAGUAUGAAACUGAGAUUCAACUCUUCAUCUGAGAUAUAAUUCUUCCAUUCUCAUUCUACUAGUCCACUGAUAGAUAUGGAACAUUCUUGAUCGUUUCUAGUGGUCUAAGCUUCUGCACAUAACUUUUGCCUUCUUCAUUUUCUGAAGCAAAGUUUACAUAAUUUAAAACUGGAUCAGAAUGUAUUGAAAUGUCAACUCAUUUUAAUCCUUCUGCUGUGAAUGUAUUAAUGUCAAUGGUGACUCUUUUCUUGUUUCCUUCAUUUGAUAUUUAAUGAAUGUGGUGAUGCAUUCAUUACAGUCUUCUAUUUUAGAAGGCAUUUUGCACAAUCUUCUAUCUUGCCCUUGAAGUUUGGAUGACAUGGACCUAGAGAACAGCAUGCAGCCAAAUGUAGUGAACUUUAGAUUCUUUCACUCUACAGUUGAAGGACUGCCAACAAAGUUGAAAUAUUUUUCAGAACUUAAUAGAAUGGGCUGAACUGAAACCGCUUAAAAUAACCCAGAGGGAAUAUUGGACACAAUGCUUUUUUGGGAGGCUGGAUCAAGUGCGGGGCUAGAUAUAAGUUAAACAUCAACACAUGAAAGAUUCAUCAACUUGCGUGUUUGCUAUUGGGUUGCCUGAUGCAUUUCCAUUUUUUGUUCAUUAUAUAUACUUGAGAAAAUUCAGAAUUCUGUGAAUAAAAGCUUCUACUGUGUCACUUUUUAGCCACAAGAUUGUUCCGAUUACUCUUACAUACGUGAUGUUACCAAAAAUUGAUUAGGAAUAUUUGCGCAUUUUAACCCUCUUGCCUUCUACCUUCUCUGGUUCUGAUUGCCAUGAUGGGUUUAGUAGAGAUGUUGAUUACACGUAAAUUUGUGUUUCCCACUUCUUAGUUUGGCUAGAGAAGUUUCUCCUGUUCACCUUGGAGCUUCUUGAUGUUGGCGAUUAAGUUGUUGAGAAUCAGUUGAAGUUCAAGGCAUGCCUGUGGCUGUGAGUUUUGGACGUAAUUUAGAUAUCUCAUCUGGAGAAAAUGAUGUCUCAAUUCUUCGAUGUUUCCACAUUGCAUUUCUCAUUCUCAAAUCAAGAGUCACAUGUUGAGUGAAGUAUUGCAUAUAUUUUGGCUAAUGUGUAAGCAUUCCCAACUCCUCCUGAGUCCUGAUCAUAGGAGGUGGUUUGAGAAAAUGGAUAAGUGGCCGAUAGAUUGAACUAAAGCCAAGCCUAAACAUCAAGGUUCAUGUCACCUUAAUUUGGUUUUUAAGCAAAAGGUGAAUAUUGCGGAGAAAUGGAAGACUACGGUGCCUGUUCCUCUUAAGAGGAGUGUGUAGUUAACUGCAGAGAACAUUUCACCUUCUGUAAAUCUCAAAGUGCUUCCACAGCUUUGAAAUCCGUCUUCAUAAUUGAUGUUUACACACGAAUGAAACGUCAUGAUUGCCCUGGAAGAAGAAACUUAAUGCCAAGAUGAUCUUUCUGUUUCUUUCUUCUGUCAUGAACUCCCAAAGCAUGAAUUGUCGCCUUCCGUGUCAUCGUUGGUCGCGGACUGCGACAUAAAGGGUAUGUAACUGUUAAGAUCUGAAGCAGUAAUCAUGCAAUUUGGAUUGUAAACAGGGCGAAGGAAAGAAGAUGUGAGAGAGAGAGAGAGAGAGAAAUGAGAGGGAAGCAACUAAUUCUGUUAUUCUUGUUAUUCUUGUCUGACUGUACACAAGUGGGUCCCACCUUUAAUAUAUUCCUCUGACUCAGCCACUAAUCGCCAUACCUAAUUCAAACCCUAUUAAUUGGAACGACAUCGUUCCAUGCUCCCAGUUUCCCUUAAUUGCUGACCCGAUUUUCCAAUUCCUGACCUAAUUACCCGCUCCUAACAAUUCCUUCCCCACGAAAAUAGACUUGUCCUCCAGUCUGGAAUUCAGGAAACUGGUUCUCAAUGAAUGUUUUGUCCUCCCACGAAGCUUCAUCAUAACUCAAGUGAUUCCAUUUGAUCAGGAAUUGGAUGACAGACCUUCCUUCACGCAUGAUGGCUCUUCGCUUCAAUAUAGCCUCUGGUUUCAAUAGACAUUGAUCACAUUCGUUCAACUCUGGUAACUUAGGAAAGCUACAUUGCAGUGGUCCAAGCUUUUUUUUAAGUAGAGAGACAUGGAACACAGGGUGGAUUCUUGCAUCUGCUGGUAGUUUUAGGCUACUGUACCAACUUUCUCCUCUACCUGGAAUGGUCCGUAAUACUUGGCAGCCAAUUUGAGACAUUUCCUCACAGCUACAGUUUGCUGUCUAUAAGGUUGCAAUUUCAAGAACACCCAAUCCCCUUCAGAAAAACUCCUUUUAGUUCUGUGCUAAUCCGCAUGGUGUUUUAUUCUCUGUUGAGCCUUUGCAAGAUGUUAUUUGAUGCAACUUGAAAUCUGACUUCUCUCUUGGACCAUAUUAGACACUGUAGGUACCAUUGAGUCCAGAUAUGGACCUAAUGGCAGUGGUGUAGGUUUGUAUCCAAACACAGCUUCAAAAGGGGUCAUGUUCAGGCUAGAAUGGUAAGUGGAAUUGUACCACCAUUCUGCUAGUGAUAGCCACUUACUCCACUGUGAGGGUAGUUCAUCAGUCAUGCAUCUCAGAUAACUUUCUACACAUUGGUUUAACCUUUCACUCUGACCGUCAGUUUGAGGGUGAUAAGAUGAUGAAUAGUGAAGGUCCACUCCCACUAAUUUGAAGAGCUCCUUCCAGAACACACUGGUGAACACUUUGUCUCUAUCAGUGAUGAUAGACUCUGGUAACCCAUGCAUCCUGUAGAUAUGGUCUAGGAAAAUCUGAGCAACUGUCUUAGCUGUGAAGGAAUGAGUGAGCCUGAUGAAGUGUCCAAACUUGGUAAAUCUGUUAAUCACUACCAGGACAGUAUCAUACCCUUGAGACUUAGGCAGUUUCUCAAUAAAGUCCAUAGUAAUGUGAAGCCAUACUUGUUUAGGAAUAGGAAUUGGUUGUAACAAUCCAGGAUAAGGAACAUGCUCAGCUUUAUUCGUUUGGCAAAUAUCACAGUUCUGCACAUGUGCAAUCACUUCCUGCUUCAUUCCAGGCCAAUAGAACAAGGACUUGAGCUUCUGCCAGCAGUUCCUCUGACCUGAGUGCCUUCCUAUGGCAGAGUCAUGCAAGGUCUGAAUCAGUUGGCUCCUGAUGUUGUUGGCACCUCCUACAUAGAUCAUUCCCUAAUACUUCAGAAUUCCAUCAAGCAGGCUGUAUUCAGCAUGUGCAUUGGGGUCUAAUACUAGUUGGCUCAUAAUAUCUUGGCAUUGCGAAUCACCUUCAUAGCUCUUCUGCAAUUCCUCCAUCCAACCAGGUUUAACAGAUGUGACAGCUAAGCAGGAUCCCAGCUCCUUCUGGUGUGCAGGUUCAUGCCUCCUAGACAAGGCAUCUGCUACCGAGUUUUCAGCUCCUUUCUUAUAUUCUAUCUUAUAGUCCAACCCCAAGAGCUUAGUCAUCCAUUUAUGCUGAAUAGUAGUGUUAAGCUUCUGAUCCAAAAGAUACUUCAGUGACUGAUGAUUAGUUCUUAUAAUGAAAUGAUUCCCCACUAGAUAAUGCCUCCAUUUAGUGACAGCCAUUACUAGAGCUAGGAGCUCCUUUUCAUAAACUGAGAGUCCCAAGUUUUUGACUGAAAGUGCUUUACUCAGGAAGGCAAUGGGGGUGUCCUUCUUGCAUUAAGACAGCUCCAAUCCCUCCCCCACUAGCAUCUGUCUUCACAACAAAAGGCUUUUUAAAGUCUGGUAACUGGAGAACUGGAGCUGAGCACAUCAACCUUUUUAAGUGUUCAAAUGAAUCUUGAGCUUGACUACUCCAUUUGAAGUUGUCCUUCUUUAAUAACUCAGUGAGUGGUUUACACACCAGACCAUAGUGCUUGAUAAACCUCCUGUAGUAUCAUGUAAGCCCAAGGAAACCCCUCCACUUCUUUACUGACUGAGGUAUAGGCCACUGUAGAAUGUUACUGAUUUUUGAAUAGUCCAUGCUAACACCCCUAUCUGUGAUAGUAUGCCCUAAGUAGUCAACCUUCUUCUGAGCAAAUGCACACUUAGAUCUCUUCACAUAAAGUUGAUGCUUCCUCAGAACCUCAAAUACAGACCUUAAGUGUUGGAUAUGAGUAUCCAUGGUAGGACUAUAUACCAGAAUAUCGUCAAAGAAGAUCAAUACAAACCUCCUCAUAUAGGGUUGGAAUACCUGAUUCAUUAGUGAUUGAAAGGUUGCUGUUGCAUUAGUGAGUCCAAAGGGCACGACCAGGAAUUCAAAAUGUCCACAGUGAGUCUGAAAAGUUGUCUUGAAAGUGUCUUGAGGCUUAACUCUGAUCUGAUGGUACCUUGCUGUGAGAUCCAAUUUUGUUUUGUAGACAGAACCAACUAACUCAUCCAGCAGUUCAUCUACGUUGGGAAUUGGAAACCUGUCCUUGAUGGUCAUUUCAUUCAACUUUCUGUAAUCCACACAAAAACGUCAAGUCCCUUCUUUCUUUUUAACCAGCAAUACAGGGAAGACCAAAGGGUUGUUGCUGUACUUGACUAUUCCUUUUUGAAGCAUUUCUGCCACCUGUUUCUCUGUUUCCUUCUUGUGACAGUGAGGGUACUUGUAAGGCUUCAAUUUGAAAGGUUGUGCCUUAUUUUUGAGGUGGAUCUCAUGAUCAACACUUCUGUUAGGGGGCAAAGAGUUUGGAGUUUGGAACACAUCAUCAUAGUCCUGAAGCAAUUUCAUGACUUCCUGUAGAAUAGCCGCUGCCUAUUCUUCUGUCUCAUUUUUACAAUUCAGUGCCAUGCACAUUUGCUUUUUAUACUCUAUGAAAGUUCUCAGAUCCUUUCCUCUGAUUAAAUCCAUAUCACAGUCCUCUGCUUGUCCAUGCAAGUGGAUUUCAUUUCUUUCACUGUGCAGGGAUAUCCUGAGUUGUUGGAAGUCAAAUGUGAUAGGGCUAAAGUAUGUCAUCCAGUCUACCCCCAAAAUUAUGUCUCAUCCUUCUAACUCCAUCACCUUCAAAUCGAAUCUGAAACUAUGUUGAUUGAUUUUCCAGUGCACAUUAGGACAGAUAGCAUUGCUAGUCACAGUGGUUCCAUUUCCCAUUAUGACAGAAAAUGGCUGCUCAGUCUGUCUGUAAGUAAUAUCCAUCCCAAUUACCAUCUCACUGUUGAUAUAACUGUCUGAACUUUCAGUGUCUACCAGAAUAAAAACUUUCUCACCAUCUAGGAUGCCUGUCAAUGUAAUUGUUUUCCUUCUCAGGGAUUCAGACAAUGCAUGCAAGGACAGUUCCAUAGUUUGUCAUGUAUUCCCUGUCUGUUCAUCCUGCUCACCUAUUGCAUCUUCAAAAGUCGCAUCCUUUUCAUCCUCUAGUAUCAUACAGUUUACAUGCCCUAGCUUACACUGGUGGUCUAUGCCAUAUUUUUCUCCACACUUGAAACACAGUCCCCUACUUCUUCUAAACUGCAGUUCUUGUGCUGAAAUUUUCUUCAUGUCCUUAGUGUCCUCCUACUACCUGUUACUGAACCUAGAGGUCUUAGGGGUAUUAUUGACAGGAACCUUGUAGGUGUUGCUGUCUACAACUGAUGUAAUUCCCCUUGACAAUCCAAAUCUAUUCUCUCCAAAUUGUUUGGAGUUAUUAUUCUGCACUUUGAGUGAGUACUCUUGUCACUGAGACAACUCAAAAGCCUCAGUCAAUGUAGCAGGUUUCAGCAUUCGAAUCAUAGGUUUGAUUUCCUCUUUUAAGCCACUAAUGAAGCUAGAAAUGAAGUAAUUCUCAUCUAAAUUCCUAUUCUUAACCUAUAUCAAUGGUUUCAAUUCUUCGAACUUCUCCUGAUAUUCUUUCACACUGUCUUCCUGUUGCAACUUAUUAAAUUCCUCCACUAUAUCCUUGCAAAUAUUGUCUGUGAAUCUUUUGCAUAACAGAUCUCCAAAUUCUGUCCAACUCAAUCCAGGUCUUUUCAGUUUAAUACCUUGGAACCACUUAUCAGCCUUCCUAUCUAGGUACAUUUAUAUGAUUUCAACCUUUUGGUUAUCCAGAAUUUGAUAGUUCAUGAAGUAUUUGUCACAUUUGCGCAACCACUCCCUAGGAUUUUCCCCACUAUACAGUUGCAAGUCUAUCUUAGGUGGUUUAGGAAGUUGGUACUUACUCCAAUCUCUUUUGCAGGCAUUCUAUUGUUCUCCUUCAGGUUGCAAUCUCUGAUGAGCUGGCGGUGUAGGAAGAAUUGGCGUCUGAUCCACCAUAAUUCCUUCCUCUCUGUAUGCAAUCUUGUCCUUCGCAGGAGUCAUCCUGGAUAGUAGCGCAUUGAACGUCUGAUCCAGUGACUUGCUGAAAUUCUGUUCCAUUCCUGACAGCAGAUUCUCCAUUCUCUUGUUGUUUUCUUCCAAUUCCAUUUUCAAAUUGUUCUUAAGCUGUUGUUGUUUUGACUGAUGCGAAAGUAGAGAUUCCAUCAGUUCUUGGAGCUUGAUUUCCUGCCUCUUUACUUGUUCUUCCAAUGUCCUGAAUCUCGUACCUUCUGCCACGGAUUUUGCUCGCGCUCCAAGGAUCUAAGGCUUUGAUACCAAUUGUUAAGAUCUGAAGUAGUAAUCAUGCAAUUUGGAUUGUAUACAGGGCGAAGGAAAGAAGAUGACUGAGAGAGAAUGCGAGAGAGAGAGAGAGAGAAAUCAGAAAUGAGAGGGAAGCAACUAAUUCCGUUAUUCUUGUCUGACUGUACAGAAGUGGGCCCCACCUUUAAUACAUUUCUCUGACUCAACCACUGACUGCCAUACCUAAUUCAAACCCUAUUAAUUGGAAUGACAUCGUUCCAUGCUCCCAAUUUCCCUUAAUUGCUGACUCGAUCUCCCAAUUCCUGACCCAAUUACCCACUCCUAACAGUAACAAAUCUAUGAGGAAGACCAAAUUGAGAAUCUAUGCUAUAAAACAGAACUUGGCGACGUACUCGAUAAAACAAUCAAAUAUUCGAUAAGGCUCAACGAGCCUUAGAAUACAAGACUCGAACUCGAUUCACGGCCCCUUAUUGAGUUGCUCAAACUUGACUUGAACUCUAUCGUCAAGUUGUCGACCAAGUUGCUUCCGAGCAAUUCGAUUCAAUUACAUCCCCAAUCGCAACAGUAAGUAUGAGUAUUCCAAUUGUAGUUGAACCACUGGAUGGAUCUAAGUGGUUUGAGCUCAGUCCAACGGCCUAUGUUCCCAAAUCCACAAUUUUUGAGCUAUUGUAAUUUGUAGAUUGCUCAUUAGACUCGAAACUAUUUGGGCAUGCAUCAAAUUUUUAAAUUUUUUUUUUAAAACUUGGCUAAUUCUUUUAAGCCUGUAAAUUGCAUUAUGUACCUUAUACUGUCAAUUUGUGGCACAUUUUUUUCAAAUUAAUUAGAAAUCAAUUGUUUUUGCGUGAAAAGGCAUAAUUAACCCUAAGAUAAAUUCGUUGAGUGUAACACUACUAUUCGUCUUGCGGUUCAAUAUAAACAAAAUCCCAAUUAAUUUUGAAGAAGUCAAAGCCCUUACUCUGUAUUUAUAUAUUUUUUUGGUUCUUAAGUAUCAAAAUUCAAACGAGUUAGUUAUUGUUUAGCAAUCUUUGCAGUAUUUAAAUUGCACACAGGUCAAUCUUUCUAGCUGAAGUUUCAGUACUCCUCGUAGACAUGCAAAUAUAUAAAUGUGUGUGUCUGCAUGUAUAGUAUAGUAUAGGUAGGUAUAUGUAUAGUGAGUGUAAUUUGAGCUUGAGAAAAUCGCACGCCAAACCUGAAUUUAAAAAAAAAAAAAAAACAACGCAUGGCAUCAGAGUCUGAGAUUCUGAUACUGAUAGAUAUAGACUUCAGUCUUUGCUUGUGAAAUAGAAUACCUGAAAUUUGUUGUAUAUGGCGGCCGGCAUAAACUCAGCUCAUACUGUAUCUAUCUAUCGUUUUUGUUGGUCUGUGUAUCCCAUAUCAACUGACCUUUUGAAAGAGCUUUAUUGUGUUAAUUUGUUGUUCUUCUUGAUUACUUAAAUGGAAAGAAGUUAUUGAGUUUGCAAAGUGACAAUAAAUGAAUAUCACCUUGCACAAAUUGACAGGAUUAAAAUUUAAAGAACUGUGGAAGUAAGUAUUGAGAGAAUAAAAUUAGCUCAAGUCAAAUCUGGAGAAAAGCUUAUCUAGAAAGCGUCAUCUGCACUUGCUAUUUUGUAAUGAUUAGAUAGACAUUUGUUAGACUUGUUCUGAUCUGAACUUGGAAUAACUCUUUCUCAUGCGUGAAGAGGAUUAGCUGUUUCUAACUCUUUUUCCUGAAGUAACCAUGAAAUCCCACACUGCAUAUCAUGUAAUGGGAACAAUUGUUAAUUUUAUGUCUGGUUAAAAAUUUCCCUUUUUCUGGAGUCUGGAUUAAAAUUUAAAAAUUUUCAUACCAGACUUGCAUAGACUUCUUCGCAGGGAACGCAAAACUCAAUAGGCCUGCACUUUCCAAACUACACUAAAAGUUGACGGUGGAAAAACCUGUAAUUUAUUUGCUAUCUAGAGUUUGUAAAAGUCCACUGACGCUGAUGGUUCCCAAUUGAAAUUUUAUUCUGUAGUUGGCAUUACUGAAAAAAAAAAAAUUGACAUUCCAUCCUGAUCACCACGGAUUAAAUUGUUCAUUAAUAGUCAAGUAGGCUGCUGCUUUAAUUUAAGCACAGGGUACCAAAUGAACAAAAGUAACAAUAAACGGAUUCUAGCAGUUAAGUACUGGCUACCACCACCUGUGAUGUUCCGGUGGACAGAAUGAAUAGGUCUUUCCUAGCUUAUUAUGGCCCUGGAAAAGGUAGGGAAUUGCCAAGGCGUGCACAUCUCUCUGUUUGUGCAUGGAGUAAAAGGGUGUUGAACAAAAGCAAAACAAAGGCCACACUUUUUAUUUCUUCUUCUUUUUGGGUAUCCCCUUUGUCAUAAAUGACAGUAGCACACAGUGAUGCUCUUUUGGAGCAGCAUAACCGCCAGCUAAAUCAACUAGCUGAAUGUUUCACAUUUGCCAUAACCUAAAUUCUCCUCUUGCAUGCUUUCUUGAACAGCGUCCUGAAGUAGUCAAGUAUAUCAUAAGUAUUGCCAGUUAAAAAGUUCAACAUUUUAAAGUCAUGAUCUACGAAAAAAGCACUAAAAUUAUUUCAAGAAUACUGACUCAGUCAUGAUCUAAGAACUUUGCAGGAUAUAUAUAGUAUAAUCCACACUGACAAGUACGUGCAAGUUGCGUAGUAUUUGCAUGGAGGAGUAGGGCAAGAAGUUGUUGGGAGUGGGUCGAAGACAAUGUUGUAGUCUUCAAAAGCAGGUGCUACAUGCGUUCCAAAUCCACCUUUUUAAUACUACCGUGCCAUUGCCGGUCUCUAUCUCCUUUUUUUUCUUUUUGGGUUUUUGUUUAUGCCAGCGGGAGCAUGCACAGGUCAAGAUUACAUGAUUUCAUGUAAUAGGGAAAGCGUUGAAGAUUUUGAAUCACAGAGAUAAAGAAAGAAAGAAAGAAAGCUAGCUACUGUGCCAAUCGGUACCCUACAUUGGUUCGACCACAAUAUUCUACAAACACGCCCCCCCAACAACUUAUUAUUACAAAUCCGUGUUAGAGGAAUCAAUGAAUCAUGGAAGCUGACAAACACAAUAUGUAUGGAAGGCCUUGACAAGGCUUUUCUAACUUCCUUCUCCUUCUCCUUCUUCUUCUUGGGCCAUUAAACAAUUUUCUGUCUAUCAAUAACUACAUUUAAAAGACCGUUCUCGACCACUUCUACUCCGCACUUCUUCCUAGCUAGCUAGCUCCCACACAAACAUAAGAACAAGUGAGUAUCUAGUAACUCUACUCACAGAUGGCAAACCAGCUGGCUACUUCAGGCAUUUUGUACCUAUGGCUAAACUUGCUGAUCAUGAAUGCUCAUAGAAUGAGUGUUAUGGGCUUUAUCGCACGAUGGCCGGGAGGCAGAGCAACAAGGUCCUAUGACUUCAAGGUUAUAUAUUGCUCUCUCUUUCUUUUGUGUUAUUUUACGAAGUCUUUGAUCAUGCAUGUUCAAUCAAUCGCUGAUUCAUUUCUUGAUGAUGUUUUCAGUGAAUUUAUUGUCUUUUUUUUUGUUUUCUCCCUCCCUAUAAUGAAUCAGGUCCAAACAACAAAAAUCGAGAAGUUGUGUAACACUUGGGAUAUAGUGACAAUAAACGGAAUGUUUCCUGGACCGGUUAUUUAUGCACAAGAAGAUGAUAGAGUAAUCGUCAGGGUUACCAACGAAACACCCUAUAAUGCCACAAUACACUGGUAAUAUAUAUUCUUCAUCAUCAUGUGCUAUCCAUGCAUCAUUAACAGACCCGAUUAAUUGCUUAUAAGCACGUACGAGAUUGGCUGAGCUUCAUAUUAUCAACUGAUCCUUAACGUUGUGAUUAUAAAUCCGAAUGAUGAUGGUAUACAUGUGUUAUCUGUUGUAGUUGAUGAUUGGAUUAAUGUAAUCACCAAUCAUGCAUGCAUUAAGUCAUACGUAUUAAGCUAUUACCUGGUUUCUUGAUUUCAGGCAUGGUGUCCGGCAAAGGUUAUCAUGUUGGUCAGAUGGCCCUUCUUACAUAACACAGUGCCCCAUUCAAUCAGGACAGACAUUCACGUACGAGUUCACUCUGGUGCAGCAAAAGGGCACCUUAUUAUGGCAUGCUCACGUCUCUUGGCUCCGGGGCACCGUCUAUGGUGCCAUUGUGGUCUACCCUAAGACUGGGGUACCCUAUCCUUUCAUCUACCCUUACGAAGAGCACAUCAUUCUCCUGGGUACGUACAAUAUGUAUAUAUAUGUAUGUAUAUCCUAAUUAUUGUUUUACUUAAACCAUAUAUAUAUAUAUAUAUAUAUAUAUAUAUAUAUAUAUACACAGAGUUCUGUGUGAUGAUCAGAGGCUUUUGUCAUGAAAAUGUUCAGGGGAGUUUUGGCUGAGAGACUUGGUGCAACUGGAGCAGUCGGUUAUCGCAAGCGGGGGAGGCCCACCACCAGCGGAUGCCUACACGAUCAAUGGCCAUCCGGGGCCUAACUAUAAUUGCUCCACCAAUGGUAAUUAUGCAUAUGCAAUUAUGUAUGAUCCCUAAAAUGGAAAAAUAAAAGAAUAAAAGGCAUUCAUUAGCUUUGGGGAAUACUUUUCUGGUAUUUUGCUACACCAUAUGAUAACCCGUAGCGACAGUGUCGCACCAAAUUCUGUGAACAUUGCAUGCGAUGGACUUGGUAAAAAGCUCAAAUGAUAUUUGAAGGAGCAACAUAUGUAGAUAUGUAGAGGAAGAGGAAUGCAUACAUACAUUAUACAUAUAUAUAUAUAUAUAUAUAUAUAUACACACACUGCAUCACCAACAGCUGUUACCAAUGGACUGCGAUUAAAAUAUCCUACUCUAAUUAAUUGGCACUAGCCUUAGUCGCCCCCCUUGUAAAAUAAAAAUUAUUAAGUCUUCCAGGAAAUGAACAAAAAAAAAAAAAAAAAAACCACCCGUGCUGUCAUGAUAUAGGCAAACUAUUACUAUCAUUGAAAUUUUCCUCUGCAUGCAUGAUCUUGGAGAAAGUCAAGAUUUGAGGCUAUCUAAUCUUCUGAUCAUACGUAAUUAAUGUAAUUAUAUUAAUGAUGGAGAGGGGGGGGGGUCAUGAUUGUUUUUUUUUUUUUUUUUUGCAGAUGUUUACAAAAUUGACGUGGUUCCUGGGAAGACGUACCUGUUGAGGUUAAUCAGCGCAUCACUGAACACGGAGCACUUCUUUGCCAUUGCAAAUCACAAAUUAACAAUAGUCGAAGCCGAUGCUGAGUACACAAAGCCCUUCACCACCGACCACGUUAUGCUUGGACCUGGCCAGACCCUUAACGUUCUGGUCACCGCUAAUCAACCUAUAGCGAAGUACUCCAUGGCCAUGGGCCCUUAUAUGUCUGCAAGAAACGUCCCAUUUCAAACUAUAACCUCAACCGCCUACUUCCAGUACCUGGGUGCCCUGCCCAAUAGCCUCUCGUCACCGGCUCCCGUCCCAACGUUUAACGACAACCUUGCUGUUAAAACGGUCAUGGAUGGGCUGAGGAGCUUGAGCGGAACCCCGAGCGUUCCUAAGGAGAUUGACCAGAAUCUGUUCAUUACAAUUGGAUUGAACGUCCAAAAGUGCACUUCAAGGAAUCCACAGCAGAAUUGCCAAGGCCUCAACGGUGGGGUUAUGGCUGCUUCCAUGAACAACAUAAGUUUUAUUAAGCCUAACAUUUCGCUUUUGGAAGCUUACUACAGGAAGAUUAAUGGCUAUUUCACCGAAGAUUUUCCCGGGGCGCCCUUUAAAUUCUAUGAUUUUGUGAAUGGAGCUCCUAAUAAUGCCCCCGUGGAUACUAACUCAUUGAAUGGAAGUAGGACUUAUGUCCUUGAAUACGGGACUCGAGUUCAACUGAUCUUGCAGGACACAGGAACGGUCACCACUGAAAACCACCCAAUUCACCUUCAUGGCUUUAGCUUCCACGUUAUAGGAUAUGGCACCGGAAACUAUAAUCCAGACACAGCAAAUUUCAAUUUGGUGGAUCCGCCGUACUUGAACACGAUAGGAGUUCCAGUGGGUGGCUGGGCCGCUGUUAGAUUCCUUGCAGACAAUCCAGGUAUGUCUCUGCACGUUAUUACUAACAAUAGAAUGGCAUCAGGGCAUUGAUUAACAACUCGUGUACCUUUUUAGUUUUUCAUUUCUUAAAAAAAAAAAAAAAACCUAAAGAAUUAGGAUAUUAAAUUUGGAUACUAAAAUGUUACUGCAGGGGUUUGGUUCAUGCAUUGCCAUUUGGAGAUACAUUUGUCAUGGGGCUUGUCUGUGGUGUUUAUCGUGAAAAACGGGCAAGGACCGCUGCAGACCCUCCCCCAUCCUCCGGCAGACCUGCCCCGGUGCUAGUGAAAAGAGGCUGAUUUAAGCAAAGCCGUGAUAGAUCAUAAAACAUUGGAUGCUUUCUCUGAUCUUAUUUUCCAGCCAGAACUACUGAUGAGAUUCUUUUGAUCCAUGCAAGUGUGCCAUAGACGUGGGUUUUUUUUUUUUUUUCCUUUUUCCUUUUUCGGGACAUCAUAAUUUGGUGUAAAGAAACAGUUUGACGAAAUAAAAACUCAUUACCAUUGCUUUUGUCAAAAUCCUUAGAUUUUGUUGCCUUUUGCAUGUAAUAUGGGGCAUGUGCUCUGGUAUCAGCUGGGCAAGAAUCAUUGUAGCAUGCGGCAGCCUUUAUUUGGAACGUUCCAAUAUGCCCCCCAAAAAAACCUUGGCCAAAUCUGCGUUUUCUCUUCCAACAAUAAGAUUAGAUACCCAGUGCCGUCUGUACUAAAGUAGGUAGAACCCAGGGAUGUCCUUGCCUCGUGCAUUAUAACUCAGAUUUUACAAAAGCAGUUGGAAAGUAACCUUAGAAUAGGAAAAUGUCAAAGCAAGCUGCAUUUAUAAUAAUGACACUCCAAUUACUGAAUUACUAUUAAUUUUCAUGGUAAGAGACCAUACAAUGUAAAGGUGAUUUCUUUUCUUUUCGUUAGCGAAUUCAAGUCUAAGGGUGCGUUACGACUUUCAUCUCACCGUGCUCUCCAAAGAGCAACUCUUCUCAAAAUAUCAUUCAAAAGGUGCUGUGUUAACUUGGAAUCUCAUUCUAACUAAGGAUUCUUGUGGUUUCGGAGGAUCCAGCUACCGGAGAACCAGGAACAGAGAGCUCCCCCCUUCUGCCCGACUCUUUGGUCGAUCUUAAGAACGUUGAUUUUAAGCAUGAGUAAUUACCCUUCUCCGACCCUUACUAUCCAACGCAAACAGAAGUUUAAAUCUAUUAACUUAUUGAAUUAUUAUGUACUAAAUCUAAUAUAUUUGAGUAAUAUCACAUUAAGUGAACUUAUCAAUUAUUUUUAGAACCAAAUUUUAUCUAAAAAAUUCAGUGCUCAUUAAUUCAGAUGUUCAAAUUUUGAUUAUCAAACACGUGUAAAUAUGUUAAAAUUUGGAUCCAUUAAUUUUAAAUGUUGAAUUGGAUUAAUCUUGCAAACACGUCUGGAUAUUUUUGGGUAUUUAGAGUUGUUUUUGUUUUGGAUUUUACAAAGCAAGGUUUGACCUGGGACGUGAGAUCUUAAAUUCUUAAUUAACACAAAUAUGAAACCAACAAAAAAGAAAGAAAAGCGGCGAGGGUCUGAUUCAUAGUCUUGUGCUACGCACAAGGUUCACUCAUACUGCUAACUCUAAUUUCGUUAAUUCAAGACUAUGGGCAGACCAAACAGUCCAUCUAGGGACCAUUUCUUUCCUGAAUUGCAAAUUCGAGAAGACACCAUAAUGACUCAUAGCUAGCGACAAAACACAUCCACCUCAACAUUGAUAAAAGAGAAUUGCUAAUACUGCUUCCUAACAACCCCUUUUUUUGUUGUUUUGGGGGGGGGGGGGGGAGGGGGGCCGUGUCAGAAAGGUUCAAUACUUUUAAUCCCACUUCCCACCAUCAUUCCAAGCAGGAUGCUUAUUUUGAAUGGUGGGUAGAAUCUCAUCACAUUAGCUACCAGUUAGCUGGUUUAUAUUUUCAACUUGAACAAUAUCAGGGAAAAUUUUAACAGACAAGAUGUUGACAUCCCUAUGACAUGCACCACAAACAGAAUUGACGUAGCUCAUUCAAGGAUGUGGAUAUGGACUUACCUCAAGAAUUUUGAGACCUGCAACUCCUCUAGUUCCCAAAGCUUUUUUGUGACAGAUGGCCGAUACUACACAACUUUAGGAGUCAUUAACAUAAAAGCCAGCAGAUAGAAGGAUACUAGUAAGUCAGCAUUCAGACUGAUGGCAUCUAUAUUUUGUGGUCAUGAGAUUGAGAAUUUAGAGAAGCGCUGACUAAGAGUUACUAUAAGCUUUACUGUGCAACGCUCAUCAUCAACACAGUGAUAGUACAACAAAUUGUUUAUUAGAUAUUAGUUUAAGACAAAACAGGCAUUAAAUAAGUUGUCAAAACCUUAGUUAUAUUAAUAAAACACUUGUUCAACUAUCGGGCAAAUUUUACUUUCAAAACUGAAAAUAGACAGACUUCAGAAAGAGUGGCAUCUAACAACUUGAAGGAGACCAAAGUCUGGUACAACCAACUAUCAAGAUGGCAUCAGGUUCCACUAUAUGAGAUGCACAAAAAAGGCUGGGCAUAAAUAUACCCUUUGUCCCUGCUCAGCCCCCAAAGAGACGCACAGAAACAGAGCCGUGAUGCAAUCCCUUCCUUGGUAAGGCCUCUUGCUCAAAUGAGUAUUCCACGGCAUCGCUAGAGAAACUAAAAAUGUUCCUAAACUUCGAGGAAUGAAUAUGCCUGGGUUGUUCCAGCCCAUUGUUGGAAAAUGGUUGAGAUACUCAUUUGAACAAGAUGCUUUCCACGGGAGGGUUCCAACUACUGCUACAUUUCUUUGACUAGCAUCAGCGAAACUCCCAGUUGCUUUUUUAUCAAUGCCUGAGUCAAGAGCAAAAGACUUCUAACAACAAGGGACUUCCAGUGGCUUUCACCAGAUAAAGGUACGCAAGGUCAAAUUUUAUAGUUUGCGGGCAAGAGUUCUGACAUAACUUAUAAAUCAUAUACAACGAGUGAUGAUCCUCUUUUAUUUAUCUUCAAGAAAACUAGCAAAAUUCACAAGGGGUUCACAACUGUGGAUGGAUGAAAUUUUAUUACAAAUAAUAAGCUUUGAAAUUAGCUAAGGUUCAGCAUAAACCAUGGAAUCACAAGACGACACUAUGGAUUGACUUUAUCUGAAGUCCAGAACUUUUCCCCACUCCCAGUCCUUGUAGAUGUAAAAGAUUGCCUUUCAUUACUCUUUAAAUUUAGAUAAUCAACCUGUAAGCAAGACCAACAUCACAAAUUUAGGGAGGGCAGUAAUUUGUCUUAAGAUGAGGGACAGUCCCAAGAAGAUUUAAACCUGGUCAGGGUCCAGAAGAAGUAAGCAAAAUGCACCAACAGGACCAGUAGAAGGGUCUAAAGAGGUUUUUUCAGAUAAUUCUUCAUUGAGAGAAGGAAGUCCAGGAGUAGGUCCCAAAUACUGAAGUCUUGAUCUAAGCGAACUAGCAAACCAAGCUUUCUCUCUGUGCUGCAUUGUUUAUAUUGAAAUCUCAGGAACAAUAUAAUUCUCCAAGUUUAGUAAUAUAGAGAAAUGUAUUGCUGAUGCACCCACUUUACCAAGAAAUCCAUUUGUUUAUUGAGAAAGCUAACAUCAAUAACACAGAAAAAGCUCUCUAAACAACUUGUAUUUUCAAUAACACAGAAAAAGCUCUCUAAACAACUUGUAAUGUAAUACUCUGAAACUGUAAGCACAAUAAGUCUCAGAAGUACCAAAACAGAAAAUAUAGACAUUAGCUGCACAUAUUGAGCACGUUAAACAGACAACUGCUCACCAGCAAGGGAAAUGUGUUUGUCUAAAUUAAACUGGAAUUUGGGUGAAUUGACAAAAAAUGAAAUCCUUAACAUGAAAAACAAAAACCAAAAAGACAUACAUCUUGAAGGGGAUGCCAUCAUUGGCCAUGAGAAUACUUGACUUGAACUUUCAUACCUAACCAGUUGCUAAAACCAAACGACAGUGGCAAGGAUUCCAGACAAAAUCAGGCUUCUGAAGCAUCAUAGGUACUGGUACUUGGUAAAGCUUCCCCCCCCCCCCACCCCAACAACACAAAACAAACACCUUUCAUAGAUUUCACAAAAUGUUCAAAGUUUGUCAAUCAGAAUUGGAAAUAUCUAUCAUCCCACGUAUUUAUGCAUCCUUUAAGUCAUAAUGUCAUCUCAUUGGUUUCCGGUUGUAUAAUUCAUUCUUCAGGAAACAAAACUACAAAUCACAGACACAAAGUUAGAACAUUCACGAAUUCACAGACCAGCAACAGCAAGUGAGAGCAAGCUAAAAGGCACAUGAGACCAGGAGACUACUCAACAGUACCUGUAAUUUUAGAGGGUCAGCACUAUUUCCAUCAAUAAUAUCCACUUUCCCGUUAAUGCGGAAUUGCUCCCAGGUGUCAGUGAAAUACCAGCAUAUCUAUCCAGUUUACCAACAAUCAGAAUCAUCCAAUCUCCAGAAAACAUAAUAAAACAACAAAAAAAAUCUGGACUGCCAGCAAUUUUUUCUUUAAUUCUUUUCAUUUAUAUUGGUAAAAAGAGCUUUUUUGUGGUAUAAAGCUUUAAAAAGAAGAAACAAACUCUUCGUAGCACUCCAAUUUCAGCACUUCUUCCAAAUUACUGAGCCAAGGUAAAUCUUCUUAUAAAUAACAAACCUAUUUGCCUUCAGAGCAAAUACUACUAGCAGUAAAUAAGUAGUCCAACGAUACCUCAGCAAAAGGGCAAUGCUUGAGAUCUUCAAUCUGCAUUACUUUUAAGUAAAGAGCAACAUAAGUAGUAUUCCAAAAACGAACAUCUGGUUAUAACUUCAAAAAUGUCAUGAAGAAGCAGGAUUAGGCAAAACCGCCCAUUUCACCCAGCCCACGGAAAACGCACCCCCAAAAAAAAAAAAAAAAAGAUAUUGAAGGAACAGCAGAUUAUCCAAAGUUACUGUCUUUACUUGGUAAAUGUCAUUUGGGAAGCUAGAAAGAGGUGAUUCAAAAACAGCGCAAUUUCACCCAAUCCACCUAAAACGCACGGAUACAAUACAGAGAGAGAGAGAGAAAGGAAGAGGAAAUCACUAAAAAGAAAGCUAAUGAGAGAGAGAGAGAGAACCUUUCGAGUUCGGGAAUCAGUGUUCAUCUGAAUCUUAUCACUGUCGUCUUGGAAUCCUCUGAAAACAACAGUUCGAUUUGAGGGCCUGCCGUUAUUCCCUACUGUUGCCUGAAUUUACGUCAAAAAGAAGAGAGAGUAGUGAAAACCUUUCACCAAUACAGAUAACCCGAGAAACCAAAAAUAAAGAGGAAAAGGGGGAAUCAUAAGCUGCUGCUGCUGAGCCAUACAAGUUGAAAAUAGGAGGAGUGCUUGAGGUGGGAAUUUGAUUGGAGGGCAUUUAAAAGAAGCUGCUUCCAUGGAGCCGUUGCUGAGCUUCCCAUUCUCCGGCGGCAACUUUACAGGAUUUACACAGGCUGGCUCUGGCUGUUUUUGCUCUGAUUAUUUUGAUGCAUCGCUUCUAAAUCAUGCGUUUGCGUACUAGGGACAUGAGAACACGUAAACGGAGGAGAGCCCGGUCGGCCCCGUGGCCAAGAAAAAGACGGGCUGGCCGCUUUAGCUAAAACCAGGAAACCGGAACCGGAACCGGAACGGAGGGACAUCCUGAAAACGACACCGCUUCCCACAAGCAUAAGCCCAUACCAAUGAAUUAGGAAGCUUCCGUCUCACAGACACCUAGAAUCUACUUCAUUGGGCCAAUAUUUUGCAUUGGGCUUUUCCUUCUGUUAGUCGUGGAAGUUAUCCAAAAAAAACAAAAAAUUUUUUUUAUUCCAAUUCGAUUUUCUUUGAUAUACUAGAUGGAAAAUAGGAAUGUUACACUUACGGACGAUACUUAGCCACUUUUUUUUUUUUUGUUGCUAUGAUCAUCAUUAUUAUAUCUCUUUAACCUUAUAUUUGAAGGUAUUUUUAUUCUAAUUCCUCAUAAUAUACAAAUUAAAGAUCGAGCAUCUGUAUGUGCAUAACUUUUAGAAUUACAGUACCUAUGAUGUUUGAUAUUUAUGAUUCAACUCUCAAUGCUUUGCCUUUCCAUUUGUAAAGUUAGGAGUCUUCUCUUGAACCCAAAAAAAAGGAAUUCAAUAUGUAAAGUUAGCAGAGGAAUGAAUUAAGGUGCAAUACAGACAAUAUUUGUUUUUUUUUUUCCAGCGAAUACAUAAGGAGGUUUACUGUAUUUAACCCUUAAAAUUAUAUAAAAUAUAAAAUUAACAACCCCCAACCCCCCCCCCCCCCCCCCCCCCCCCCAAAAAAAAACUAAGUAGUAGAAAGAAAAUUUUUCGUUUUCGUGAACGGGGCGGACCCUAGUGUUAGGUUCCAUGAACUAUUCUGUCAAAGCAUAUGUAGAGAAAGCGAGUUAACAAACUUGCAUGGAUUAUGCAUAUAUGAUAUCGCGACUACGUCGCAAUGGAAACUUGAGGUCAGGUGUCUGAUAUGGGCUGGUCUACAACGAUUUGGCCUUGUAAAACUUGGUGCUAGUAAAUUUGAUCCAAUGAAUUACCGAGCCGGACUCGGCUCCAGCAAAGCUCACCGUAUUGAACUUCUUUUCCGAAAAAGAAUGUGGGCGAAUUCCAUUUUAUCAACCAAUUUAAAUUUGCUUGUAAUUAAACUAGUGGCCAGCUGUAAUUGCCAUGACUUUGGAGCAAAGGGCUUAGAUAGUAUGGCACCUUUGAUCUAUCUAUUAAUGCUACUAAUAUGCAGUUUCUUGGUGGUCACCGAGACAUUUAAGUCUAGGUGGGUUUCACUUUGCCACUUAAUUGUGGCUUUUUUCGACAGAAAAAUUCCGUCUGCUUUCUUCCUUUUAGAUUAGGUUACAAUAGGUUAUACAAAUAUUAUCGUUGCGACAAAAAAAAAUGCAGUUUUGGUGGGCAGAGAGCAUAGUGAAACAUGCUUCUUUGGAUUCCAUGCUUGUUAGUAGUAAAUCGGAAAUACAUUUUGUUUCCUGAUUUGCAGCCCAAUCUUGAGAUAUAGCAACGGAAGAUUUGACCCCAAAAAAAAUGGAUAAAACAUUUGUAAGGCCUCGUUUGAAUUGCUACUCUUUCGGAAAACAAAAUUUUGUUGAGUUUUUUUUUAAAAAAAAAAAAUUAGAAGUAUUCUCUUUAUAUCUCUCAAACACCUUUAUUUCACACAUAGUACAUGUCAAAAUAAAUAAAAAAAAGAGUUGCGCUGUUGCUGGUUUCCUAUGGGGAAAAAAAAUCUCAAAAAUACCAAUCUCGUGGGGUAUACAUUUUCCAAGCUACGAGUUAUUUAUUUAUUUAAUUUUUUUUUUGGGUUCCCCAGCAGUUGGGGCCAGGCGGUAACUAGAAAGCAUGCGUUACGCGCACCGGAGCUUAGAAGUGUAGACUGUAGUGUAGCAGAAAACGUGGAAUUCCUUCAUUCCUACUUUGUACUAAAAGUACUAAUCAAUGAAUGCCACUGAGAUAUGGGGAGGACUUUUGGCUAUUUCCUGGAAGACUUCUUUCUACCGAAAAAAAAUAAAUUUUUUUUGUUUUAGCAGGGGAUAUAGACAAGAGGAGGUCUCAAAUCUCAAUCAUAGAAAAGGAAGACAAUUUCUCCCCUCCAUUUAGGAUUUAGCAACUCUUUUGGGUCCUACCAUAAAUCCCGUUGUCGGCCUCUCUCUCUCUCUAGUCUCCCUAUCACGCACUAAAAUUUUCUUCUGUUUACAAGUCUUCUUCAGUUCAUCCUAAUUGGCAUCUAUGCGAGGGGUCCCUGUGGUCGUUUCUUCAAAAAGUUCUGCAUCCAUUAUGAGUAAUAUUUAUCCGCUUUUUUUUUUUUUGAGAAAUUCUAUUUGCAUUUCUCCUUUUUUUUUUUAUCAAUUAAUCACGUUCUUACUUUCAUUUUAUUCAUAUAAUUUUCAUUUAUUAGAUUAUAUGUUAAAGUAAAUGAUGAAAGUGCAAAUAAUGAAAAAUGGAGUCACUGCCUGACUUUUUACAUGCAUGGCUAUUGAUCCAGCUAUGACAUGGCUAACCCAUGUUCCUCGUCUAAGGCCUCAUCAAUUAAACCUUUGGAUAGAGUAUUAUUUGAAAUAUCAUUUGAAAUAAUUACCGUAACACUUUUUAUGAUGUGAUGUAUGUGAGAUAAAAAAGUGAGUUGGAAAUAUAAAAAAGUGAGUUGAAAAAUGCGUUUAUGAUGCAAGCGAAAUAUUAUUUGAGAUAAUUUGCUAUCCAAACGCUCAGUUCAUUAUAAACUCAUUACACUUUUGUAGAGAAUGAAUGCCUUGAUCUAGUUAUUAGAGUGGAGGCUCCAGAAAUUGAAAAUCCUGAAUUCACAUUUUCUCCCCCUUCCUAUUUUUUAAAUUCACCAUUUCCUUACUUUAAAAAAUAAUAAUAACUAUUACACUUUUCCCUUUACAAAAAACUAAACUUCUUACAGUUGAGGAAAGAUUUUUGUUCCCUCUUUUUUCUUUUGACAUAAAACUCAAGGUAUGUUGCAAAGAUUAUUACACAAUGGAAGGGGUAAAUAUAUAACUUCGCACACAACCCCCCCCCCCCCCCCCCCCAAACAAACAAAAAAAAACAAAAAAAAAAUCCAUUAGUUACCGCGGACAAAAAAUACAUCAGUGACAGGCUAACAUGCUGAGAAUUUAAACAUAUCUACAUCUACUUUUUAAGUGAAUCCGACUACAAGUACAUUAAGUCAACAAAAAAAAAAAAAGGACUAAUAUUAACAACAUCAAUAUUGAUUAUUGACUAAGACAAAUUGAGGCAACAAGAUAUAUAGUCAGCUCAUCGGAUUUUCCUCGUUAAUCUCAAAAACUUAAAAUAGGGCACAAAGGAACGAGGGUGGUGGAGGCCGGAGGGAAGGAAGAAAAAGGGAUGAAUUUGGAAGCAUUUUAUUGGGAGCAGACCUGUCUAACUUCAAUCUAUCUUCAUUCCGCUUCUGUGUAGAAGGUUUUCUUGAAACUAAAGAAGGUACUAUUAAUUAUAACUAAAGAAGGUUUAGGAGCUUUAGAGGUCAAGCAUAUAUGGUAAACAUAUACAUAUAUGUAUAUGGGGCAUAAACCUUGCCCUUUCCUUCUCUUGAUUACUUUACUUCAGGCAUUUGUGUAACUGUAAAAUAAUGUACUAAUUCCUGCAUGAAAGCCUCAUGUCAUGUAUUAAAUAGCACAAAAAAGCUAGCUAACCUGACAAAGUGUGGAAUAUACUAGUACUUAGCUUGGGAUGGGGGUUUUUUUUUUUUUUUUUUUUUUUAUGGCAGGGUGGGGUGGAAUUAAUAGUAUGCUGCUGCAUCGUACGUUCAAAGUUAGUUUGAACCUAGAAAUGUACGAAGACAUAGCAUCAAUCUGCAAGCAAAAAAGAGAUUGUAUACGUGUGGGGUUUGGACGAGCACAGUCUACCCAGUUGUACCUCAGGCAGAAUGCCACGGUUAAUUACAGGCAAUCAGAUACGAAGAAUGGCAUAAUGAUGGUGGAAGGAUGUGGUUGGUGAGAAGUCCGUUGUCUUUUUCCGAAUAAUUCCCUGAGGAGUUGAAGACGGCUAGCUUUAGGGGAGAAAGAAAGACCAAAAGGCAAAAUUGUUCUUGAGAAUUAAGCAACAUAGAUUCGAAAGAAACCAGAAAAAGCAAAUCUUUGGUGACCCUAAAAAGGUUUUCCUACGUACUUAUAGAGGGCUAACAUCACAAACUAGAAACAUGGACGACAAUGGUACACAUGCAAACAAUCCCAGUUGGUGAAGUUUGUUGGUGACAUAUCAUUCUACUCCCCCCCCAAAAAAAAGAAAAAAAAAUUCUGCUUGAAUUAUUUUGCAAGAUUGAACGACAUCUUCUAAAUUGUCGAGAUUCAUGCAAAAGGUGCACAUAUAUUCCAGCAGGCAAGUAAAAUAUUUGUUGGUCCAUGUCAUUUCAGCAAAUUCGGAGGAUCGUCUGGAGUUUAAAAAACCAGUUCAUCAUAUGAGUAGAUGAUCAUAUAAAUUCCAGAAAGCCAACCAACUCAAGACUCAAAUGAAAGGAUUGUAAGAAUGCAAUUGAACUACUGUCGACGAGAGAGCAAUUAGAAUCGAGAGUUCCCCCAUUAUAGGGUCAAAAAGGCAAAACCCACCAUCGGAGAGACAAUUCAGAAUUCCACUCACGAAGUUUAAAAAAAGAUUAGAUACACAGAGCUUUCUAAUUGAAUAUCAGACAAAAGUUCAAACAGGGAAAUGACACUAAAAUAUCCUGCUUUUAAUAUGAGUAUAGUCAAAACAAACACACAUCCAUCAUCCCUCUUUUCCUUCCAUCAUCGCAUAAAGUAAGCCAACACUAAAAGGACCAACACACAAACAGCUCUAAAACAUUCUUUCUUGUAUCAUCAAGGACAGCUGCAGACAAAGGGGCUGAAAUUUUCUCCAUCUCAUAAGGUUGCUUUUUUAUUGGUGACCUUUUUUUUUCCUCUCAAUUCAUGGAUACAACUAAUCAAUGGACUCAGGUUGGUAGAAGCACUUGAUCUCCAUGUUUACUUGCUCCGAAUAAGUAUGUAAAUACUUUCAAAUCCAGUAUUAUGAGUUUUAGGGUUCACUUGGAAAGUUUUCCCACUUUUUUUUUUUUUUUUUUGAGAGCCUUAGUGGAUUACGCUUUGUUGAAAUGAUGUUCAAGAUCACAAAUGACGGUUGCACCAGGACCAAUUUUUUCAUUUUAAACUUUGCUAGCUUUUCUGCUGAGAUUGAAGAUUAAUUAUGUUCUUUAUACAUGAAAGGACUGCACUUUUUCUUUCUUCUCCUUUUUGCAUGUGUGCUAACCGAUAAAAGGGAACUGGGAAAAGUUAUUCUUCGUUAUUAUUGCUUGUUUCUCCUUUGAUUCAAAUAACUUUCCAAAGUGAAAGUUUGUUUAUUUUAAUUUGUCAGCUAGUUUAAAUUUUUUAUUUUUUUUCCAAACUGUUGAUUGAUCCUCUAGCACCAAAUUUGAUCUUGUAAAUCUCUGGCUUUCAUGCUUUUGUUAGGAGAUUGGAGGGUUGAAAAGUAUGGGUGAGAUAGCUUCCAGUCCAUGCUCCAGGCCAGUGGUGCAGGAAAGAAAGGUUAGGCCACAAAAGGAUCAAGCCCUGAAUUGUCCACGGUGUCAUUCAACUAAUACCAAGUUCUGCUAUUACAACAACUAUAGCCUUACUCAACCAAGAUACUUCUGUAAGACCUGCAGAAGGUAUUGGACUGAAGGUGGAACUCUGAGGAAUGUUCCAGUUGGAGGAGGCUCAAGGAAAAACAAAAGAUCUACUACUACUAAUACUUCAUCCCACAAACAUCCUGAUCUGAACCCUCCGACCAUCACUCACUUCGCUUCUCAAAACCCUAAGAUCCAUCCUCAAGGCCAAGACCUUAACCUAGGUUUCCCAGCUUCACAAGAUUAUCAUGGUCAUGCUUCUAAAAUAUUUGAACUACCCAAAGUUGAUGUCAGCGGCUGCAAUCAGCUAAAGUCUUCAUCUUCUGCAUCCUCAGCUCCAUUCGCCGCCCUAGAGUUUCUAAGGACAGGAAUUGUUUCGAGGGGGAUGAAUUCCUUCAUCACAAGUACGAUCCCAGCUGUGGACCUAAAUGCUCUCUAUAACGCUCAAGGGUUUCAAUUCCAAGAUUUGAAGCCAGCAGCUGGCGUCAGUUUUUCUGUUGAUCAUCAUGGGCUUGGAAAUAGGUUUGUUAAUGCUCCUAGCGGGAUCCAAGAAAAUGGUGGGCGACUAAUGUUUCCUUUUGGAGCAGUCAAACAAGGUACAAGCACAAGUGCAGUCGAUCAGAAUAAGGGACAAUCAGAUUCAAGUGGAUAUUGGAAUGGAAUGUUGGGUGGGGGAUCAUGGAUGUAAAGGUAGUGAUCCAAGGACAAAUCAGAUGCGGAGUCUCUUCCUUCUUCCAUCUGGGGCUACUAAUACUUUCUCUUUAGUAACAAGAUUUUUUUUUUUUUGAUCCUCCCUUUUUUUUUUCCUUUCUUUUUGGUACUUUCCCUUUUCUUUUGGUUUAGUUACGAAUUUGGAGUUGUUCAGAACUAACAUAUUCACCUAUGCAAUUUCUUUCUUCUUCAUUUCAAUGUAAUGUACUUAAUGUGACCCUUCCGGCUGUGUUAAGCUAUCAGGAAUUUUUUUUUUUUUUUUUAUAAAAUGUAAAUGAAACAAGCUGAUUGAAGCGUUAGCUUGACUAGAUUGGAUUCUAGGGAUUGCUACUUCAUACGACGUUGUUGCAUUAAUUCUCUCACGGUAAGUUAUAGGGUUUGCCUAACAAUUGAAUUGUUCAUUUGACACUCAUGCACCAAGUGAGAUAUUAGAUGUUAAUUUUUCUGAAAAAUAGCAGCAUUAAACAAAAAUAAUAAUAAUAAUAAAUGUGAGUUUAUACAUUUAAAUGACAAGUUUAAUGUCGUAAAUGCUACUAUUAAGUGAUCAUUGAACACUUGCUAUAGACAGCUUUAUUUAUAGGGCACAAUGAUUUAUGUAGCACCUCGAUAAUUGGUUUGUGAUCAUUUAAUCAAUUAGGGUCCCGUCCCGGGGUUCGGUCGAAAAUGCGGAUAUUCAUGAAGGAGAGUUCACACAUUGUAAUAUCUUUCUUUUGGUGAGCAGGUAAGAAGGAAUGAACCAGAAUUCUAUCCAGGGCCUACGGGGUAGCCAAUGCCAUUUGUCCUGAUGCUGUGAAUUCUCUCCAGAAGAAGAGGGGGGGCAGGGCACCAAGCUGUUCAAGCAGUUGACCGUACCUACCACUCACAGCAGGAGACAUUUGUCUCUGUGAUUUGUUGAAUAAUAUGACAGUCAAGAAGAGUUUCCAGAGCUAUUUUGUGUAGACGCAUUAUUGUAGAGGAGGAGUGACGCCAACAUUUGCUUAAUUGCUUUACAAAAGAAAGAACGAACGCUUGCUAUGCUAAUCGUUGAAUGAGAUGAUACAUGCAUGUAUAAGGGCUGCAAAAUACGAUUCAUUCACAAGCAAAGAUGCAAACUAACUAAAAAAGAACACAAACUGCAAUAUAUGUUGAUUAGAGCAGUGAUUUUUUGAAAGCUGUUAUAUAUACAGUCAUUAGCAGGCUUCAGAUUUGUAUCCCAGAGCGUCGGUCUUCGCAAAUUUUGUGUAUAUUUAUCAUGAGGCAGGAAAUUAAUUACUGCCACAACUAGGAAAUUAAACUCUUCUUGUUUGUUUGUACAAGCUGCUGAGUAAUUUGUUCAAAGAGGGUGGGCAAAAGGCUACGGCGCUGAUGAUAGGGAUAGGGAUAGGGACGCCCGUACUCUG